AGGGUGAUUACCAAGGGGAUGACGGUAAUAUUUAAUUCAUGAUGUUGGCAAACUCGUCGGAAAAUCGACCCCGGCGCUGGCAAACUCACUGGGGACAGAGCUCUGAAGUGGCCGCCGUACCACUCCUCUCGGUGAAAUUUCGCGAAGAAGAUAAGAAACACGAAAAUUACGCUAAAUUUCGGUACUUUUUGCUGUUUAACUUUGUUUUUGUGUUCUUGGGUUUCAGGGUUUUGUUGCUGGUGACAGGGUUCGAAAGCCGGGUAUCAAUCAAACUCUCAAUUCUAUUUAAUUUCAGUUUCGAUUUCAAUGUCUCUUUUGAAAUUUAUUUCAUGAUGUUCGAAUUUGGAUCUCAAAUAUCGCCUUUGUGCUCGGAUUUAUGAUGCAAAUCUUAAAUUUUGCAACUCGUCUAAAUUUGGAGUGUGAGAUUAGAUCUCGGAUAUAUGCUGCAAAUCUUUCAUCUCAGGUAGUUUCUCUAACAAUUAAUAAUAAACUCUUACCUUCUAGUCUUAAUCAGAUAGCUUAUAUGAUGAUUAAACCUUACAAAACAACAACAACAACAACAAAGCCUUUUCCCACUAAGUGUUGAUUCCCCAAAUUAAUCCAAGUUUUAAUCACAUAUCUAAAUCAGUUUUUCGCGUUCUUCUUUUCUUCCGGAAGGAAAUUAUAUUUUCAUAAUUUGUUAGGCAAUUGAUACAAAAGUUUUUGUUUAUUGUUAAUUUUGUUUUUGAUUGAUUCAUAAUAGGGUUACAGAUUAGAUUGUUAAUUUCAUUUUUUGCUCGUGUGUCGACUGAUGUAGAGAGAGAGAUAGUAGUGUUGCAGCAGCAAAAUGAGAAUGGGACAAGAUAUGUUGGUGGAAAUCCUAUCAAAUUGCCUCCCAAAACUCUCUAAAUGGUGAUAUGCUCUCUUCACCAAUCCGAGUUUUGAAUUGAAGCACCUCUCCAACUCCGCCAACAACCACCUCACCACUCGCAACCUCCUUUUCAAGUGAUAGUAGUGCAGCAGCAGCAUGAGGAGGAGGAAACUGAACAAGUAUUCUUGUUGCUUAAGUUAUGCAAGGACGUUGCUUACGUUAUGCAAAGACGAUGAUAAUAUCGGUGAUGAGGAAAGCAGUAGCUGCUCUCUUGUUGGUGUCCAGGACAUCAUUUUUCCUCACUCUUUUAUUCAAAAGGUCCAGAAAGGCCAUCAUUUAUUUCGAUACAAGUUGCUAGGUAUUUCAUGGUAUGCCGAACCAUCUGAGCUCCAACGAUUACCCCUGGGGCGUGACCUUGAUUUGAAGCAUAUUGUGCGGAAUGAAUCAGUUGCCCUGUUUGCUCUUUUCUUUGAGAAUCAUCAGAAUUAUAGAUAUCCUAAACCUGACUUAUAUGAAAUGUGGGUGACGGAUGACGACUCUAACGGUGCUUGGACAAAACAGUUAACUAUUGAUGAGCGCACAGAGUGCCCUCCCGAGAUGUUCCCACAAACAUAUCACAUAUUUUCUUCUAGGCCUGUGGCAUUGUGGAGUGAUGAGUUUCUUAUGGUUCACAGUGAUGAACGCUCAGUUUGCUUUAAUCUUUGUACUACAAAGCUUACGUAUAUUCCCAUUGAAACAUUAGGUGAGUUUGUUGGUUAUGUGAAUGGCAGAGUUUCUGUCAUGGGACGCAACCACAAGCCUGAGAGCAUGGAGAAUAAUUGCUCAGACAAAGAUGAAAAUGCGAUGGUGGUGGUAGACGGGAAGAGGGAAAGCUGCAGGAGGCAGUACACAUAUUCCGUUUCGGCCAUUCAACCGGCUGAUGUUUCCCAUAGAAUCAAGAAGGUGAUAGGGCCUCCGGGCAGAGUUUGGUGCAUGUCCCUGUAAACAGUAAGUUGCUGUUUACAUUAACUUUUGAGCUGUUUUUUAUUUUUUUGUUUUCACGAAAGCUUCCUUUUUAAAUUCUCCUGUUGUUUACGGGAAUGUUCAUAUGUAAUCUGUCUGUCUGCAACAUUUGAUGGGUGCAGGUUCUAUGCCAUAUUAAGCCUCCUCUACGGGAAGUCGAUGGAAGAAGAAGAGGAAAAAAAGCUCGAGAACUGGUUAAUGCUCUGGAUGGAUGAGGGCAUUACUAGCUUAACCCUGCGCUAUUGAUGUUUUACCAGACUGAUCUCUCCAUCAACACUGCUUAUUUGAAAAUUCUAUUUCAAAAUGUCAGAAACAAGUUUUUCUUGCAAAUCAACCAGACCAUGUUUACACGUAGUGUCGCUAACGUUGGCAAGGAAACUUUUGAUUAUAAAUGUUUUUGGCAGCUGUUGUUUUACCCAACUCGCUCAUCCCCCAAAUUACAAUCAUGACAACGUCAUUUGAUCCACCACUUGGAAAGAUGACUGAUAAAAUCAUCGUGGAGGAUUUUCGAGGUAUUUGAGUAGUCGACUGCUUUUGAAACUUGGUCUCACGGACGGCCACAGUGAGGUAGCAGCUGUGGAGUACUCCUGACGACGUUGUUCCUGGAACUAAGGUACUUUCUGAUACUUGAUGCUUGCUCAAUGCUCAGCUAAAUCAGUUAGAGAUUUCUUUGAUUGAUCACUUUUUGGAUUUUGAAUAUGUUCAGUUUAGUAUUCAAACGAGUUCAUCGACUGCAAAGGUAGUGGAAAAGAUAAUUCAAACCUUAUGCCAAAUAUGUCAUGGCAAGUCGAGAUUAAUGAAAAGCUUUCGUUGAUUUUCUAACCUUAAAAGUGAAUUCCUGAAAUACGUGGUGGAAGCAGGGCAAGUAUUUGUGCGAAUUCUGAGUAGUAUUUGUCAAGUAUUUUGAUGAAUGUCUUAUAUUGAUUGUUGUAAUGUUGAAAUGUUUCUAGAUGCAAUAUAUCUUCAAAAUUCAAAGCAACUAAUUGAAAACAAUCAUAGGAGCCUGAAAGAAUCCAUCAUUUCUUAGUCAUGCGGAGGAUAUUUUUAUCUUAACAUGAACAGCCCUACAAUCUAUUCAACUCUCAUAGUCUCACUAUCUCCAAAUGGUAAAGGCCAAGAGACUCAGGUGUCCGGCUGAAUGUUACCUGAACAAGUAGAUGAUGAAUAACCAAGAGACAGAGAGGCGCGUAAGAGGAUCUUCGUCCAUUGGGUCGGAUAUCUGAUCUCCUCUCACUGACUGCUGGACCCUGUGGCUUCCAAUGAUCAAGAGACCGAGAAAGGCGCGUAAGAAAAUCUUCCUCCAUUGGGUCGGCUAUCUGAUCUCCUCUGUCAUUGACUGCCGAACCCUGUGGCUGGAGCCUGGAAGAGUACUGAGAGAUUCUAAGAACGGGUUUGAGGCUGAAUAUGAUGGCCUGCAGGAAAAGUAUUAGAAGACAAGGAAAAAUGUGAAUGCGCAAGGCUGAGAGGACCAUGAUCAUGCACUGCUAUAGUACUACCGAUGUACUUACUGAGAUCAUAAUCAUUAGAUGGCUCAGAAUUAUCACAUGACUCCUCAUAGAACCGAGCUGGAUGUUGGUCAAAAACAUAACUAGCUUGGUCCAAAUCAUGCGUAUUUUCCUUCAUAGGUUUGUUCCACACUAGAUUAACCAUUGUUCUCAUUGAUGGUGCUGAAAGUUGAACUUCAACUUUAUCCCCACUUUGCAAUUUGAGCUUAUCGUUCGAUAGUUGUCCUUGCCAAAGUAGUCCUCGCCAAAGUCUAGGCGUAUCCAAAUAUUCGCUGCUUAAGUAAGCCUGCAACUUUCUACGCUUGGUAUUAUUUAUAACAGUAAUGCCAAGUUCACCUCUAAUUACAGGUUUUAUCAAGAAGCACAGAGUCAGCCCUUCAAAAGUACGACCAUCAUUCGGGGGAAUAUCAAAACUGACUGUAUUGCUAUGGUUAACAAACUCAAACCAAUCAGGAACAAAAUUCCCAGAGAGUGAAACGCCACCAAAUCCGCACGAAGUCCAUCCCUACAUAUAAAAUGCAAGUGUCAUACAUACAUACACAUGUAAUCCCUACAUAUAAAAUGCAAGUGUCAUACAUACAUACACAUGUAAACGUGCGUUUGUGUGUGCAUGUGCAUGAUAGGAAGGCAAUGAGAGAGAGAGUGUGAGAUACCUGUAGGAUGUUCUUCCUAAAAUCAGCUGUGAGAUUGGUGCAAUUACUCAUAUCAAUCAAUGUCAUGAAGUUUAAUGACUUAUCCAAGCCUGGAAUCUCAGUGAGUUUGUGCGAAUCUUUUACACUCAACUCUGUCAUCUUUGACAUUUCCGAAAAAUUGGGCAUUGUUUCCAAUGCACGGCAAUCAUCGGCAUACAGAAAUUUCAAAUUUGUUGGUAAAUCAGGGAUUGUACGAAGGUUAAAGCAGUCAUUUAACCACAAUGUUUCAAGCUUUGUAAGACCACUGAGGCUGGGUAGGGUAUGAAAAUCAUUCUCUUGAAGAUCCAAAACUUGUAAAGAAAUUAGACUCCCAAGAUCAUGAGGGAUUGCAUCAUGUGCUAAUUCCACACCUUUUAGGGAUAGAUAAGUGAGAUUCUUCAAUCUAACUGUGGAAGAUGGUAUUUGUCUUAUGGCUGUAAACUCUGCUUCAAGUAUUCUCAAUGAUUUCAUCUCCCCUAAAUCCUCAUGCAGUUCUUUGAAUUCUAAACAGUCAUUAAGAAGAAGAGUCUCAACAGAUUUCAACUUGUAGAAAUCCCUUGGAAGAGAACUAAGGUUAUCGCAAGCUUUAAGGUUCACCAAAGAAAGUUUUUGAAGUUGACCGAUGGAGGGGUGAAUCUCAGACAGACCCUUACAAUCUUCCAGUAUCAACUCUUCAAGAUUUGGGACUUCUGAAAAGUCCGGUGAUUUAAUUAGAGAGUAGGAAUGACUGAGAUUCAGGAUUUUCAACCUCUCUAGCAACUGUUACAGAAAGCCAAAGGAAAAUUGAAAUUAAUAUCCAAAAGGAAGAUGUCAUAAUAAAAAAAAGGAAAUCCAAAAACAAAUAGAAACAGAACAUCAUCAUGUGUAAUUGAUCGUACCUUAUAACCCUCCCAAACUUGUACCAGGCUGCUCCACUGCAUAUCUAAAACAACUAGUCUUGGUUGAUCGAAAAAGUCAUUUGGUAUGGACUUUAAAAGGCAUCUUUCCCAACACAACCAUAUUAACUCUUUGGGAAGAUGUUUGUAUUCUCCAUUGAGCUGAACAUAUCUGAGAUGAAGGAAUCUCAGUUUCUUCAUAUUGGCAAAUGCUUCUGUACUCAAACUAGGCAUAAUAGUUUGGUGCCAAGGAUCAGGGAAAUUUAGAGCAAGUCCUUCAACUUCUUCAGUUCCCUGUUAACAAAAGGUUAUAUUCAUGUGUAAGAAACGGAUUAUUUGCGUAUAUUUACAUGUAUUAUUAUUCAUUAGGCAAAAUCACCUACGGUGAUUAUAUUUACACUUAAAUGUUGUUUAGUGUAUAAUAGACAUACGUGGGUUACAUAUAUGUUUUCAAGCAGGAUGCAUUAUGCAAAAUUUUAUUGGGAAUGUACUUACAGAUUUAUUUCUCAAGACUUUGGCGGCCUCUUGAUGGUUCCACAACCUACUCCAUUUUCCAGGGUGAUCAAGAGAUUUUUCAGAAAUGAUUACUCUGGCCAUUUCUCGCAGCAAAUCAUGCAUAUUCAACUUAUUCUGCUCAACAGUUAUAAGACAUCGUUCACGGAGGACACUGAUUCCUAUUGUUGCAGAAAAUCCGCAUCCAUCUAAUCUUUUUGCGACAUAGUCCUUGUCCUCUCCAAUAAAGAAACAAGAUAUGUCAAGAAAUAUAGCCUUCUCUGAACGACGUAGCCCGUCAAAGCUUAUUCUGAGUCGAUUUACAAUGUUUUCAUCUGGAUAUCUUCCCAAUUCCUCCAAUUGGCUUUCCCACUCUGCCAACGAUCUUUUAAUCAAAAGAGAUCCCAAAACUUCAAGCGCUAGUGGUAAACCUCCACAGUAAGAACCAACCUUUUCUGAAACUUCAAGAUAUCCUUGAUCAGGACAACUAUUUUUAAAGGCAUGCCAACUAAAUAGCUCAAGAGCUUCUUCUUCAUUCAUUUUCUUAGCCUGAAAUGUUUUGUUCACAUUUAGUAGUAGACGUUCAUCUCGUGUCGUUAUGAUAAUUCUACUUCCAGGACCAAACCAAUCAUGACUUCCAACUAUUGCAUCCAGUUGUUCCUUUUUAUCUAUGUUGUCCACGAUGACAAGUAUCUUUCUAUGUUGAAAUUGUUGUUUUAUCAGGCCGAUACCAUCGUCAACACAGCUUAUUUCACGCUUCUUUUUCAAGAUGUGAGAAAUAAGUUUCUUUUGCACAUGAACCAGAUCAUGUUUACUUGUAUCAUCGCGAAUGUCGGCAAGGAAACUUUUGAAUUCAAAUUGAGGAUGAAUUUGGUUAUAAAUGGCUUUGGCAGCUGUUGUUUUACCCAAUCCACCCAUCCCCCAAAUUCCAACCAUGAGAACAUCAUUUGAUCCACCACUUGAAAGAUAACUGAUAAUAUCUUGAAUGCGUGAAUUGAUUCCAACUAUGUGCUUGGCCACAUGUAAUUCAUAAGUGCUGGUGAGCCAUUCACAAAUAUUCUCGUCAAUAAUUUUUUUAAUGAACUCUGCUUCGCACCUGAAAAUUGAAUUCGUAAGCAUUAGUGGGACUCAAUGAAGGCUCGGCAGGAGAUAUCAGUACAUAAACAAUUUUCUUUCCUUCUUCCCUUCAUAUAAUAUAUAUAUAUAUAUAUAUAUAUAUAUAUAUUAACUAGCUACUAGCUAGUAUGUGAUUUUAUAACGAAGUUGAAUAAAAGAAUUCAUUGAUAAAUAAAAGUUAGGCGUAUGAAUUAAACUCCAAUUACGGUUUAGGUUACUUAUGAGAGAUUAAGGUGUAUUCAUUAAGCAUGUGAAUGAACGUUUAGAUUAUGUAGAAUGUUAAUUAAGCAUGUCAAUUAAUUGAGAGAUUAAGUCAUUCACUAAAAAUUGCAGCUUCUGUGAAGGAUCAACGUGAGAGAUUAAGGUGUAUUAAUUAAGCAUGUUAAUUAGAGUAAUACAACUUAAAUCUUGAAAGCAGCUGAAUGAUUACCCAUUGUUAGCGAUUUUAAGAUGGUGGCCAGACAAAUUUGCAGCUUUUGUGAGAGCCUCUCUCCACAGCUUUAGCCUUUCUUGUUUAGCUUCACGUUUCUUGUCAUCUUUUUCUUCACGGAUGUCCUUUUCGUGCUUCUUAAAUGCUUCAGCUAAAUCUCCGUCCUGCUUCCUGACAUGUGAAGGAUCAACGUGAUAAAAUAUUGGCAAAACAUGUCGCCCCAGUUUGUAUCUGCACUCCAUGAGCUUCACCAGCUCGUCAAGACACCAACUCGAAUCCGCAUACAUCUUUGAGAAGAUAAUGACAGAGAUCCUCGACUCUUCGAUUGCACGAACCAGUUGCUCUUUUAUUUCUUCCCCUCUUGGUAGAUCGUCCUCAUCAAAAAAGACCUGGUACCCUCUGUCUUUUAAUGCCGCGUGGAGGUGGCUCGUGAAACCAUAGCGCGUGUCUUCACCCCUGAAGCUCAAGAAUACGUCGUACUUCCAGAGUUUGGACUUGGAGGAGGACGAAGAGGAGGCUUCGUGGGCUGUCAUGGCGUUAUCCACCGUUAUGGCUCAGCAGUGGUUCAGAAUCAGAUCACAGACUGAAAAAAUAGCAAUAGUUGUGUUUGCGUUGGCGUGUUGACCUGAAAAGCGACAGACUGCCGAACGGGAAGGUGCAAGGAAAGAGAGAAGAAGAGCGACAGACUAUUAAAAUGAUGCCACGACCCAGAAGAAUAUUAAAAUGAUGCUUGACGGUGAAAAGCCGUCCGACACGUCACAGGACGUUGGAAAACAAACAAUAUUAUGAGAGAGGAAGAAACAAAACUCUGAAAUUGAAAAAAAAAAUAUUAUCUCCUUCUUCAACUUGCAAGUUGCAACAAACAAACAAAAAAAUCACUUUAACAUAUUCCUGUAGAAAAACCCAUCACAGAAGUAGCAAAUUUAGGAGACAGAAAGAGACCUGCACUCAAAUCGUAAGUUCGCCCGAGAAAUUUUCCAAUUCAGAAUCCAGAUCGUGGGUGGUCGAGAAUUUUCAAGGGAUUUUUGUAACUUGGAAGCCAUCUUUUUCAAUUUCAUAGCCGCAGGGAGGACUGAAAUGUGGGGGUAGAAGUUGGCGGGAAAAGUACUUUGGUGUUCUUGGAUUUAUCGAGGAAGGGGGAAGGUGAGAGAGAGAAUAAAAUUAUUUUUAAUGGUAUUUUUUUAAUUAAAUUAACAAUGAGGUCCAGACUCGCCAUUAAAAGAUCACGACCCCCAAAUUUCAUCCAACGGAUAAAAGAAGAGAAGGUUUUAAAAAGUAUAACAGUUCUUGACCGUUGAAUGAAAUUUGAAGGGUUAGGAUCUAUUGAUUCCCGGGUUCAGGUGGAACAGAUCCUCUCCGGAUCUGUUCCUUAAUUAUGGAGGAAUGGGGGAGUUCGCGUGCUAGCAUUUCUUUUUCAAGCAUUAACAAUGAGGCCCAGGCUCACCAUUAAUGGAUUUGGAACCUCUCCUGAGCUUAAGGAGAGGAUCAUUCUGACCAAAACACGUGGACCGUUAGAUGAAAAUUUAACGGCUAUAAUUAUUAUAACUUUAAAGAGACCUUAUGUUUGUAGCCGUUGGAUUUUCAUCUAACGGUUCACGUGUCUUGGUCAGGAGGAUCCUCUCCAUAAGCUCAGGAGAGGAUCCAAAUCCACCAUUAAUUAUGGAGGUUCAGUUACACGUGGAGUUGAAUGGGGGAGUUUGACAGGAGAGAUUUUUUAGGAUGACAGUCACACAAGGUGGUACAUCACGUAUUGUUAUAAAUUGUGGGAUAUGUUUAUUUUCCACCGAUAUGGCAGUAGUGAAUGAAGAUAAAAAUUUCCUAGAUCAAGGGAUGGUGGGUGUGGGAGUCCCGAAACUGUACGUGUUGGACUCCAUAACUAAAAAAAAAAGUUUACCAAAUAUUCAGACACUACUUCUUUUAUUAAAAGCACGUUUACAAAAAAAAAAAAGUUUACCAAACUCUUAACAACUUUAUUUUACAACUGUUUAUUCUCACAGCACAAUAGAUGUAGUUUUUUUUAAAAACACAGCAAUACCAAACUAGCCUUAAAUGUGCACACCUGCCCCCAACAAGAUUGGUAAUUGUGAGCAUCCGUCGCACAACUUCGGACAACUCCAUCGUCCUCUGACAAUAUAAACCCUGAAAUCGAACCGAACCUUAAAACACUUAAACUUUGACAUAAUGAUGUGCGGGAAGUAAAAGGUUUGAUUAAAUCAGCAUCGGGAGUCCCAAUAUUUGAAUUUAAGGGCCGAAUUAAUGUGGGCUAGGAUAAGUUGUCCAUUGGGCCUUUGAAUUUAAGGGCCGAAUUAAUGUGGGCUGGGAUAAAAAUUUGAUCUUGUUUGGACCUAUGAUCCGAGUAAACAAAAGUAAGUCAAUGGCUCAGAGUUGACAAUAAUACAAACUGUAGAUAAUAUUUAAUAAUAUAAGCAAUACGUUGCGGGUUCUCUAUCGGUAACUAACCUAACAUCUAAUCUAAUAAAAUCUAUCAUUUAACAAAAAGCACUGCGGCGCUGCACUCCUACAGGCACACAAAUUCUACACUAGCAGGCACUUUUUUCUUGAGGUGUUGGAUGGCAUGAUCUCUUGCAUUCGCUUCCUCGUUCUCCAGUAGGUAAUUGAUCUCGAUUCCCGUAGGCCAACACCAAAACCGGACAGGAAUUAUAACAAUCUUCUCUAGUGCAACAACAUUCUUCACCAAGUACCUGACAUGCUUUACGCAACACCUGUGACCCCGAUACCCUGCUAUUUCUACCACCUACCUUGAGGCAGUGAUGGGGUUGUUUGGAAACUUUCUCUAGUAUUGCCAUGUCCUCGUUGGAGGUUCCAAAUUCCAACUGCAACAAGGAAAGCAAACAAAACCAGAUUCAAUACAAACCCCGUUGUUCAUUCUUUUGGUUCUUCGAGAAUACAGGUAACAGUGAGAUGAGAGGAUAUGAACGCACAAAAACAUUCAUACAUAUAUCAACUUUUAUUUGGUAGCCUAUCAAUAACAAAGGCAUACAAUACAUACAUACCCCCAAAACAAGGCUGCGCAAGUCAGGAGCUGCCUUCAUGAAAGAAGCUAAGUGACCAAGGGACAGACAGUAGUCGGCAUCCACUAAUAAUUCCAAAUGCUUUAGAUUUGAUAACGCGGGAAACGCAUGAUUCUGAUUGUAGACCUGAAAGCCAACAACAACUGAGUAAGGGACGCGACAAUACUUGAUCUCAACCAAAUAACAUGGGAUAAGUAUGCUAACCGCUUUCCUGAUAUCCAGCUUCAGGGUCUCUAAAUGAGAAAGACAGCAUGAGAGUUGACUGAACGCAAGCCUUAUGAAUUCAGCAAAAGUGCCCCACUUGUAAAUGGAUACCUCAACCAGCAGGGGCACAUUAUUCAAACUCAAAUCUCUUAUCGGUCCACAAUAAAUAAAGGAGACAAUGUUUGCACCAGAGAUCUCAAUGAACCUGAGAUCAAGGCAAUACGUUAUCUCUAAAUAUUUCAACGCGAUGGAGGGACCUAUCACUCUUAGCUUGCCUAAAUCUUUGGCAAAACUCAGCGACAAACGUUCUAGAACUGGACAGUUGGACAACAGAACUCAACAGCAUCGCCAGUCACACCAACAUGUUUAAAGCGAACAACUCUGAGGGACUUGAAAGGAGCAAUACUGUAUCCACAAGGGCGUAGGCUUGGAAGGUUAGAAAACAGGCCCUUCUGCUUUUCCGGACCCAAUAGUAGCUUGUGGGGAAAUGUGUAGUCAUCAUCAAGGCAAGCUAUUGAGUCUGUCCAAAGCUCCAACUCAAGUAUUUGAACCCUCUUUUCCAUUGCAAAUUGGAUCCAUUUGGCAAUGGAACCUGCAAAGUCGCUUUGCAGAAAAAAGCAAACCCCGAAGCGUUCAAUGCAUUGGCCUCUAUGUUGGCCCAGAAUGUGAUCGACCCAAUUGACGUAGAGGCGGCUUUCCUGGUCUCUCGCUUGUUUCUCGAGCUUCAAGAAGCGUUGUAUAGUAGUGGUGAUAGUACCAUCGCCAACAUCAAAGUUAACAGCGUCAAAACUGAGAGUCGUAGUAGAUGCCCAUACAUGGCGCCAUCGCCUUGAAAGAAUACUAGUAGCUGCUGCUUCCUUUAGCGGCAAGAGUGAUACUAUACAGACAAGGAUUUCGGGUGGUAAAUUACUGAUUCGGUCCUGCAGCAUGGCCCAGCUGUGCCCAUCAUCCUUGCAUAUACAGAAAAGAAGAGAGAAAUACAUUCUUAUUAGCCAAAAAACUUUAAAAGCAAAAAUCAUAAACAUAAUCCCUAAGAGUGUUGCUGGGUAAUCUUAGGCGUUCGAUUUCAUGAUUCUACCAAAAUCAUUCAUUAAAAAAACAAAAAGACAAUCCCAAAGAGUGUUGCUGGGUAAUUUAACAAGUCAUGUAAUAUAUUGGGAAACAAACAACAACAAUAACAAAGCUUUUUUUUGGGUCGGCUAUAUGAAUGCUAGAUCGUCAUUGCGCUCGGUCAUAUGUCACUUCUUCUAUUAGAUCCUAUUACUCUAAAUCUUUUCUUAGAGUCUCUUCCAAAAUCAUUCUAGAUCUUCCUCUACCACUUCGAUCCUGAACACAUGUCCCGAAUCGCAUCUUUUAACCUUAGUAGCUUCGUUUCACAUGUCCAAACCUCUGUAACCGAUUUUCUUUUAUUUUUCCUUCAAUUUCAGUUACUUUUAAUUUAUAUCCUCAUUUCUAAUCUUAUCAAUAAGAAACAAUUAAAAAAGAAAGGGAAAAAAAAAAACUGCAAUUUGUAUGAAGGUGGAGAAAAGGUUUUUACUUUUUACCUUGAGUGGUUGAGAGGUGUUCGUCUCCAUUGAAUCUGAACCUUUGGUCGGUCUGAUGAGUCAGGGCAGAAUGAGGUGGCGUUUGCGGUUUUAUUCUAGACUUGGAGCCUCUAGGGUUUUGAAUUCAGUAAAGAGUGAGAGAGAAACCAACUUAAAAUUCCAAAUCAAAUCAAAGAGAAGAUCAGGGAAUCAAGGUUUGGUAAGUUUCAGUCCAGAAGGGGUUUGGCCGAUUCACGGCGUCGGGGUCGCAUGUCGGAAUGGGGAAAAGGUGGUGAUUCGCGAAGGAGGGGAUGGUUGGUGUCGUGACCGUCAAGGGGGAGAAAUUUUUGGUUAUAAUCCUAACACAAGGGAUAUAAAUGUGUUAUUAAUUAUAUAGGUGGUGAAAAGUUUUAUCAUUUUUUACAUUUGAUUUACUUUAUUAAUUUACUUCUCGUCAAAUCGAAAUGAUUGAUGACGAUCAAAAGACAUAAAUUAAUAAAAGAUAUGUUAGAAGGAAAUGGAUUCCACACACCCCUUCUUACAUUGAUAUAUCUAUAUAGUGAUUCAUCAUUUGUAUUAUCUCUUUAUAUAAAUGAAACUCACAUGUCUUGACGCACCUAUCCAUACUAGAGAGAUAGGAAAAAGGUAAAUUGGAUGAUGUUUUCGUAUAAGUUACCUCUCCCAUUCAUAUUCCAAAGCAAAAAAUUUAGAGAAAAAAUCCAUGCCGUGGGGGUCAGUGGUUAAGUUGAUUAUUUUUCAAAAUAUAUUUCAAUAACAAACAAUAAUAUCCAAAAUAAGUAAAAUUUAAAAUAAUAUUAAAACAACAGAAAAAAGCCAAUUGCCACACUUAUAAGCAUGUGGCAUCUAGUAUAUAUAAAACUUUUCGAAAUAUCAAAAAUGUUCUUUUGUUUUCUUCACAAUGAAAAUUCAAAAUAUUUAAAAAAUACAACAAACUAGUAGAAUCUUCUCAGUAUCUCUGAUAUCCUCUUUUGUAUUCUCGGUGUGUUAUUUUUGUUUCCCGUUUUAUGUCAGGUUUUGAAGUGAAAAAGAUACAAUUAUAUUGCAGGAAGCGGCUGGAAAGGAUGACGAAGAUGAGCACGACCCAGUGAAAACUCGAGGAAGAAAGAGUAUAUGAGCAUGAAAAAUGCGAUCAGUUCCGUCUUUGUGUGUCGCAUGCAUGGAAUAAAAGUAUAUGACUAUGCGUAGUCAAUUGCAACAAUUCUUCAUAAUUCUUCAUAAAGGACAAAUAAUCAGGAGGAAAACUAAUGAAAAUAGCUUGAAAACUUUGAGUUUUAACGAUAAGGACAAAAUAAAUGGUAAAAAUGAAUAGAAUCAUGUUUGACUUUUUAAUGUAAAAAUAUGAUUUUUCGUUAAAGUGAACAGUAUCGCAUGUGUUUUUUUGUUAAAACUCUCAUAAUCACGAUGGUGCACGAAGUGCCAACAGGAUCCUAUUCGGAUCCUCUUUGUGAGGAUCCCAAGAAUCUGUAAAUUGUGUCUGUUCAUCGUACAUAUCAGUGUUUUUUUUUUGUUUGUUUUUUUUUUUGAGAUACUGUUUAAGUUCAAUUUUAAAUAAAAUAAUUUCUAACCACAUGAUACACGAUGAACGGACACGAUUCAUGAAUCUCAAUGAUCUUCACAAAGAGGAUCCAAGGAGAAUCCAGAUUACACGAAGUGGUGCUCGUGGAUUGGUGACUGUUUGGAUGAGUAAGGCUAGAGGCAUAAUACAAUUAAAAUCAAAAUAUCGUCCAGUGCCUACAUGUCCCCAUAAAUAAAUACAAGUCGUCCUACAACAUUCAAAUCACUUCAACGCAGCGCUACUUCAAGUUCGUCAUUAAAUCUCUUCCAAAGAGUAGUCAUUGAGUCCAUGUUUAUAGAGGUUAUCUUGUAAGCCUUAUCGGCCAAGUGAGAGAGUUCCCAAUUAGUGUUCGGCGCAGUAAAAACCGAACUUCAUUUUUGAAGUCACUAGCAACCUUGUUUUCAAGGUAACUAGCCUUGUUUUAAACCUCAUUUGGCCUUGAUCGCUUGAAUACAGAAAUCAAGAGUGUGUUCAGUGUUACCACUUACUUAUUCAUUCUACUCAUAGACUGAGCUCGGGAGACCCAACAUUUGAUUAAGUGCAAGACUACUGCAGUAAAAAAUAUCGAAAUAGGAUAAGUUGUACAAACAACAGCAUCUGGAGAGCCAACAUUUGAAUUUAAGGGCCGAAUUAGUGUGGGCUGGGAUAAGUUGUCCAUUGGAUUUUCCGGUGAAAGUAAAUACAAGGCCUUUCUUCUGUCGGCGUCGUCUAGGGUUUUAGUUGUAACGAAGCCUAUAAAAGCAGCACGAUAGCCCCAGUAAUUCAUCAACCUUCAAUUCAGAGGCUGGAGCCGCCGUAGAAAUAUUACUAUUACCAUCCUCCCCUCCCAUAUGUCCUUAUGGAUUCAGGGCGCAUAUGGACAGGGUAAUUACAAUCCUUAUGGAUUCCGGGGCCUGCAUAUGGACAGGAUAAUUGCAAAAUGAUGAAUCCUUAUGGAUUUCAGGGCCUGCAUAUGGACAGGGUAAUUGCAAAAGGGAUGAAGGUAAUAUUUAAUUCUCUAGAUAUAUAUUUUUUAUCUGUUCAAAUAUCUCUAGAUAUACAUAUAUGUAGCUAAAUGAAAUAGAAGGGCGAAAACCUUACUUAUGAGAAUGACAUUCGUUUGAACUUUGAACCCUUGAGAUGGAUACCUUAUGUAACAAUGGCUUUCCAAUUGAUCCAAUGAAUGUCGAAUUUCCAAUUGAAGGGUUAAUCUAUUGUUUGGAGAAUUUUGAUUUUGAUUUGUUUGGUAAUACUGUCCAGCAGAAGUUCGAUUGAUUUAAUUUCUUUUGGUUAUUGUGUUUUUGUGUUCCAAGGGGCUGGUCUGGUAGUUUUCGGAGCAGGGUAUUCAGCACCGGAUGAUCAAGGGUGGUACUCUCUUGGUCAUAUUUUAUUCCUUUUUAAAGUCGCAUCGCAUAUGAAUUCUCUAUUUCAUUUGUAUGGAGAAUUCAUAGACGAUGUGAUUUUUAAAAUGAAUAAAAUCAACCACUCUUGUUCAUCAGGUACCUCAAUAUCUUGCCUCGAAGACUGCUCCACCAGCCCCAGGAAUACAAAAACAGCAACACCCAAAAGAAAUUAAACCAAACGAAUCAAAAUCAAGAUUCUUCAAACAAUAGAUUAACCUUUCAAUUGGAAAUUCGGUUCAAGAGUUUUCGCCCUUUUAUUUCAUUUAGCUACCUAUAUGUAUAUCUAAAGAGUUUUGAACGAAUAUAUAUAUAUUUAGAGAGAUGGGCGAUCUAGAGAAUUAAAUAUUAGCGUCAUCCCUUUGGUAAUCACCAUGAUCUUCACUAGCUCGUCAAGACACCAACUCGAGUGCGCAUCAACUCUUCGAUUGCCAGUAACAGUUCCUCUUUCAUUUCUUUUCCUCUUUUGAGAUCGUUGUCAUCCAUAAAAGUCUGGUAUCCCCUGUCUUUUAAGCCCUUGCGCGUGUCUUUGCCUCUGAAGCUCAAGAAGACGUUGUAGUUCCAAAGUUUUGACUUGGAGGAGGAUGAAGAGGAGGCUUCGUGGGCUGUCCUGGCGGUAUCCACUGUUAUGACACUGCAGUGGUUCAGAUCACGACUAAAACAAUAGCCGUGGUUGUGGUUGUGUAACUUGUGUUGCCGAACAGAUGAUACUGAAAUACCGAAACACAAGUCUUAUGCCUUUGAUUUCAUCGAUCUCCCAAAAUUAUUCAUUAAAAAAAAAACAAUCCCAAAGUGCAGGGUAGUUUAGAACAAAUCAUAUAGGAUAUCUGGGAAACAAACAAUUCAAAAAAACAAAAAAGGUGCAAUUUUUUAUGACAGUGGAGAAACAAGUUUUUACUUUUUACCUUGAGUUGUUGGGAGGUCUUCUUCUCCACUGAAUCUGAACCUAAGGUGGAAGGAGAUGGCGUUUGCGGUUUUGUUCUAGACUUCAAGCCUCUAGGGUUUUGAAUUCAGGAAAGAGUGAGAGAGAAACCAGCUUAAAAUUCCAAAUCAAAUCAAGGAGAAGAUAAGGGAAUCAUGAUUUGGUGAGUUUCAGUCGAGAAGGGGUUUGGCGGAUUCACGGCGUCGGGGUCGCACGUCCGAGUGGGGAAACGGUGGUGAUUAGUGAAGGAGGGGAUGGUUGGUGUCGUCACCGUCGCUCAAGGGGAAGAAAUUUUUGGUUGUGCUCUUAACACACCACGUGUUAGUAUAUAGAUAGUGGAAAAUUUUCUCUUUUUUACUGUUUAAAUGUCAUCUUAUCUUAAUUUACGUUCAUCGAAUUGAAUGAAUUGAUAAGACAUAAAUUAACAAAUGAUUUGUGAGAAGUAAAUAAGAUCUACAUAUCCCUUCUUGUAUUGAUAUAUUCAUCUAAUUGUAUCAUCAUUUGUAUCAUCUCUAUAAUAGAGAUGAGAUUCAUAUGACGAACAUAUCUCUAUUAAAAAAUGAUAUAAUGAGGAAAAAGGCAAAAAAUGUGAAGUUUUCAUAUAAGUUACCUUCUCCAUCAAUAUUUCAAAGCAAAAAAUUUAGAGAAAUAAUCCAAGUCGUGGGGUUGGAUGGCUAAGUUGAUUAUUUUCCAAAAUAUAUUUCAAAAACAAACAAUAAUAUCCAAAAUAAGUAAAACUUAAAAUACAAUUAAACAAAAAAAAAAUCAACUACAACACGUGUAAACAAGCGGUACAAGACUAGUAUAUAUAAAACUUUUUCGAAAUAUGAAAAAUAUCAUUUUGCUUUCUUCACAAUCAAAAUUCAAAAUAUUAAAAAAUACAACAAACUAGUAUAAUCUUCUCAGUAUCUCUGGUAUCCUCUUUUGUCUUCUCGAUGUUUUAUUUUUGUUUCUCAUUUUAUGUCGGGUUUGAAGUGAAAACCCCGACAUAGGAUAAGUUGCACAAGCGACAGGCAUCGAUUCGGGAGAGCCAACAUUUGAAUUUAAGGGCCGAAUAAGUGUGGGCUGGGAUAAAGUUGUCCAUUGAGCUUUCGGGUGAAAGUAAAUAGAAGGCCUUUCUUCUGUCUAGGGUUUUAGUUGUAACAGAGCCUAUAAAAACGAGCACAAUGACCCCAGUAAUUCAUCAACCUUCAAUUCGCAGACCUUUCUUCUGACUGGAAUCUGGAGGCUGGAGCUUCCAAUUCCAUGCAGAAAGAUUACUAUUACCAUCCUAUCAAAUUGCCUCCCAAAACUCUCUAAAUGGUGGUAUGCUCUCUUCACCAAUCCGAGUUUUGAAUUGAAGCACCUCUCCAACUCCGCCAACAACCACCUCACCACUCGCAACCUCUUUUUCAAGCAAUAGUAGUGCAGCGGCAGCAUGAGGAGGAGGAGGAGGAGGAAACUGAACAAGUAUUCUUGUUGCUUAAGUUAUGCAAGGACGUUGCUUAAGUUAUGCAAAGACGAUGAUAAUAUCGGUGACGAGGAAAGCGGUAGCUGCUCUCUUGUUGGUGUCCAGGACAUCAUUUUUCCUCACUCUUUUAUUCAAAAGGUCCAGAAAGGCCAUAUUCAAAAGGUCCAGAAAGGCCAUCAUUUAUUUAGAUACAAGUCGCUGUAAAACUUAGAGCACUAGGGUUUUCAGCUUUUGAUUGCACACCCAUAUAACGAUGGGUAGCAGUGUAUUUAUACAAUACUUUCAGAUUACAAGUAGGGUUUUGAAUACCCUAUUUACACGGAUAACUUUGAAUUCAAAAAUACAAAAUCAUAACAACUUAUCUUUGGAUUAUUCAAAACUGAAACCCGGACCUAGCAAUCUUAUCCUAUGAAGAGUUUGUUGCAGAGAUUAGUUUGGGAUAAGAUUGACUUGGUCUAACAUCCCCCCGCAAGCUGACAGGUCGAGCAACGACGGGAAGCUUGGAAACUAACAAGUUGAAGCGUGAAGAGGAAAGACCCUUGGUGAACAAAUCGGCAAUCUGGUCUUGGGAACAAAUAAAAUGAACCAAAAGCUGUCCACGGACCACCUUCUCUCGUACAUAAUGGUAGUCCACUUCCAAGUGUUUCGUCCGGGCAUGAAAAACUGGAUUGGAAGCCAAAGCAAUGGACGAAACAUUAUCACACCAUAUAUGCGGUCGUGGAAGAUAGAGAUGUAGAUCACGAAACAAACUUCCUAACCAUGACAACUCAGCUGCAGUAUAAGCAAGCUGCCUAUACUCAGCCUCUGUGCUAGAUCUUGAGACAGUCUUCUGUUUCUUUGAACUCCAGGAAAUCAAAUUCGUGCCCAAAUAGAUACAGAAGCCACCAGUUGAAUGACGUGUGUCUGGAUUUCCCGCAUAAUCAGCAUCAGAGAAGGCAUUUAACCGAACAUCACCAGGUUUGUAGACAAGACCGUGAUCAUGUGUGGCCUUUAAAUACCGCAAAAUCCUCUUAACCACCAUCCAAUGUGUAGUCCGAGGCAUAUGCAUGAACUGGCAAACCUGGUUCACAGCAUAAGAAAGAUCGGGUCUGGUGAUCGUCAAGUAUUGGAGCGCUCCAACAACCGUUCGAUAUUGUUCUGGAUUAGAAUAAGGUUCACCAUCAUACUACUGACUGAUCUUGUGUCCCGCAGGUACAGGAGUGGAUACUGGUUUGACAGCAGUAAACUUGGUGCGCUCCAGCAGAUCCAAUGCAUACUUGGAUUGUGUAAGAUGCAUAUUCUCCCCAGAAUAAGUAACCUCGACACCCAAAAAAUAACUUAAGGGACCUAAGUCCUUCAUAGAAAACAAAGUGCCGAGCUUCUCUAUCAACCAUUGCAUUUGUUGAUCAUUAUUGCCUGUAAGAAGAAUGUCAUCCACAUAGAUAAGUAAGAUCAAGUAAACACCUCGUUGAUUAAACACGAACAAUGAAUAAUCACAUAAUGAUUCUUCAAACCCAAGUUGAAGCAGAUAAUCCGAGAAUCUUCGAAACCAGGCUCUGGGAGCCUGUUUUAAUCCAUACAAACUUCUCUGCAAUUUACACACAUAAUGGGGAUACUGCUGAUCAAGAAAACCGGGCGGCUGUUUCAUGUAGACAGCCUCAUCCAAAUAGCCAUGCAAGAAUGCAUUCUGUACAUCCAACUGUCGCACCGUCCACUUCUUCGACACUGCAAGACUCAAAACAAGCCGAAUGGUGCUGUGUUUCACGACCGGACUAAACGUUUCAUUAUAAUCCACUCCGGAUUGCUGAUGGUAACCGUUAGCCACAAGUCGAGCCUUGUGACGUUCGAGAGAACCAUCGGCACGUCUCUUGAUUUUAAACACCCAUUUGUUUGGCAGCAGGUUCAUCCCAGGACAAUAUGGAACAAGCGUCCACGUUCCACACCUUUGCAAAGCACUGAACUCUUGUGCCAUUGCUGCCCUCCAUUCUGGAUAUUUGAUAGCCUGACUAAAACAAGACGGCUCAACAAACUUGGAGUCAGCGAUUGCAUGCAAAGCAUAUUUUGGAUUUGGCUUUUGAAUCCCAGAUUUUGACCUUGUUGUUAUGGAGUGGGGGAGAGUAGGCUCUCGUAUGGAAGAUGAGGUGGUAGAUAAAGUUGUUGAAUGAGAAGGAUUCUGAGAACUUUGUACAGAUGGAAGGUGAACCAAGUCUUGCUCAUCGGUGGGACCUAAUGUGGAACUAGGUUGAGGUGUCCUAUUUAAACACGGGAUGGUAGGGAUAGGUGGAUGAGGAGUAAGGUCCAAAUUUGAAACAGGUUGUUGGGGAGGAAAAGGUGGCGUGAUAUGCGGCUGAUCAGUAGACACCAAGUUUGACUCAGGUUGGUGGUUGAGGCUAGGAUGAGACUCGACACGAUUUGGUGAAGAUAUGGAUGGUACUAAGGGUGAUGAGGGUGUAGUGGUUAAAAUCAAAUCAGGGGUCAACGAUGUACCUGUGAUAGUGACGGCUUCCUUGGGAGAUGCAAGUUCCUUGAAAGGAAAGGAAUCCUCAUCAAAUAAAACAUGGCGAGACACGUAGAUGCGUCUCGUGGAUAAGUCCAAGCACUUGUAUCCUUCAUGAUUCAGUGAAUAUCCUAAGAAAACACAUGGUUUGGACUUUGGUUGAAGUUUAUGCCGUGUAUACGGAGUCAACAGUGGAAAACAUUUUGAACCAAACACUUUAAAUGCCUCAUAUUUUGGAUUCUUUUGAAACACUUUUUCAUAGGGAGACACGUUAGAUAAAACCUUUGUUGGAAGCCUGUUUAUAAUAUAAACAGCUGUGGAACAUGCAUCGAACCAAAAUGUUUGAGGCAUAUGAGCAUGAGAAAGCAUUGUAACACUAGUUUCAACUAUAUGACGAUGCUUUCGCUCGGCAAUUCCAUUUUGUUCAGGAUGUUUUGGACACGAAAAACGUUGGGAAAUCCCAUGUGUAGCAAGAAAAGUUUUGAAAUCGCGACUCAUGUAUUCACCACCUUCAUCACAUUGAAGAGCUUUAAUAGAUUUGUUAAACAUUUUUUCAACAUGUGUUUUAAAUGUCACAAAAAUUCCAAAUACUUCAGAUUUAUUUUUCAUGGGAAAGAUCCACGAAUAUCGUGAGUAGUCAUCCACAAACAACACGUAAUAACGAAAACCUUCAUUAGAAAUAAUAGGUGAACUCCAAACAUCUGAAUGCAAAAGUUCUAAUGGACAAUAAGACACGGACACAGACUUGGUAAAGGGAAGUUUAGUGCUUUUGCCUAAUGGACAAGAGUCACAAAACGUUACAGUACUUGUACCAGAUGAUGGUACUUGGUUAUUUGCAAUCAAAAAUUUAAUAAUUGACGAAGCAGGAUGACCAAGACGUAAAUGCCAUUUCUGGGGUGAGACUCUAACACCGACACACACUGAAAUAGGAUAGUUGGACAAUCCACCGCCACCAGGAAAUGGAUACAAUCCAUUCUCACAUCUCCCGCGGAAAAGCGUCUUCCGGGUUUUGAGGUCCUUAACAAGGAAAAAAUAAGGAAAUAUCAGUAUAUAGCAAUGGUUAUCUAGGGUGAAUCUGUGUGCCGAAAUAAUAUUAGUGGAUGCGGAUGGACAAUGUAAAAUGUCAUGGAGGUUAAAUGAGCAAGACUUAGUGGAUGCGUUAGGUAUUUCAUGGUAUGCCGAACCAUCUAAAGCUCCAACGAUUACCCCUGGUGCGUGACCUUGAUUUGAAGCAUAUUGUGCGGAAUGAAUCAGUUGCCCUGUUUGCCCUUUUCUUUGAGAAUCAUCAGAAUUAUAGAUAUCCUAAACCUGACUUAUAUGAAAUGUGGGUGACGGAUGACGACUCUAACGGUGUUCCCACAAACAUAUCACAUAUUUUCUUCUAGGCCUGUGGCAUUGUGGAGUGAUGAGUUUCUUAUGGUUCACAGUGAUGAACGCUCAGUUUGCUUUAAUCUUUGUACUACAAAGCUUACGUAUAUUCCCAUUGAAACAUUAGGUGAGUUUGUUGGUUAUGUGAAUAGCAGAGUUUCUGUCAUGGGACGCAACCACAAGCCUGAGAGCAUGGAGAAUAAUUGCUCAGACAAAGAUGAAGAUGCGAUGGUGGUGGUAGACGGGAAGAGGGAAAGCUGCAGGAGGCGGUACACAUAUUCCGUUUCGGCCAUUCAACCGGCUGAUGUUUCCCAUAGAAUCAAGAAGGUGAUGGAGGGCCUCCGGGCAGAGUUUGGUGCAUGUCCCUGUAAACAGUAAGUUGCUGUUUACAUUAACUUUUGAGCUGUUUUUUUUUUUUUGGUUUUCACGAAAGCUUCCUUUUUAAUUUCUUCCUGUUGUUUACGGGAAUGUUCAUAUGUAAUCUGUCUGUCUGCAAACAUUUGAUGGAUGCAGGUUCUAUGACAUAUUUAAGCCUCCUCUACUGGAAGUCGAUGGAUGCAGGUUCUAUGCCAUAUGUCAGAAACAAGUUUUUCUUGCAAAUCAACCAGACCAUGUUUACACGUAGUGUCGCAAACGUUGGCAAGGAAACUUUUGAAUUCAAACUUAAAAUGAAUUUGAUUAUAAAUGGUUUUGGCAGCUGUUGUUUUACCCAACUCGCUCAUCCCCCAAAUUACAAUCAUGACAACGUCAUUUGAUCCACCACUUGAAAGAUGAUUGAUAAAAUCAUCGUGGAGGAUUUUCGAGGAAUUCGAGUAGUCGACCGCUUUUGAAACUUGGACUCACGGACGGCCACAGUGAGGUAGCAGCUGUGGAGUACUCCUGACGACGUCGUUCCAGGAACUAAGGUACUUUCUGAUACUUGAUGCUUGCUCAAUGCUCGGCUAAAUAAGUUAGAGAUUUCUUUGAUUGAUCACUUUUUGGAUUUUGAAUAUGUUCAGUUUAGUAUUCAAACGAGUUUAUCGACUGCAAAGGUAGUGGAAAAGAUAAUUCAAACCUUAUGCCAAAAAUGUCAGGGCAAGUCGAGAUUAAUGAAAAGCUUUCGUGGAUUUUCUAACCUUAAAAGUGAAUUCCUGAAAUACGUGGUGGAAGCAGGGCAUGUAUUUGUGCGAAUUCUGAGUCAUAUUUGUCAAAUAUUUUGAUGAAUGUCUUAUAUUGAUUGUUGUAAUGUUGAAAUGUUUCUAGAUGCAAUAUAUCUUCAAAAUUCAAAGCAACUAAUUGAAAACAAUCAUGGGAGCCUGAAAGAAGUUUGAAAUAUGGACUUGUCUUCAUUAUCGAACUGGGAAAGCGAAAAACAAAAGAGGCGUUUGACGAACUGGAUGUAGGUCAAAAACAUAACUCACUUGGUCCAAAAUCUUGAAUAUUUUCCUUCAUAGGUUUGUCCCAUACUAGAGUAACCCUUGUUCUAAUCAAUGAAACAUAAUUAUAUAAGAUCCUGCCAAAAUUAGAUCAACUUCAACUUCAACACUGCCUUGCAAAUUGAGCUUCAGAACACGAGUCGGAUUGCAAAUGAUGGCAAAAUGUUUGAAAGUGGAGAAAAUUUCGGAGAUUUUCUAUUGAGAAAUCCAUCAUUUCUUAGUCUUGCGGAGGAGAUUUUUUAACUUAACAUGAACAGCCCUACAAUUUAUUCAACUCUCAGUCUCACUAUCUCCAAAUGGUAAAGGCCAAGAGACUCAGGUGUCCGACUUAAUGUUACAUGAACAAGUAGAUGAUGAAUAAUCAAGAGACAAAGAGAGGAGCGUAAGAAGAUCUUCGUCCAUUGGGUCGGAUAUCUGACCUCCUAUAUCACUGACUGUCGGACCUUGUGGCUUCCAAUGAUGAAUAGAUAAAGAAAGAUGCGUAAGAAGAUCUUCGUCCAUUGGGGCGGAUAUCUGAUCUCCUUUGUCACUAACUGCUGGACCCUGUGGCUUCCAAUGAUCAAGAGACCGAGAAAGGCGCGUAAGAAGAUCUUCGUCCAUUGGGUCAGAUAUUUGAUCUCCUCUGUCACUGACCGCCGGACCCUGUGGCUGGAAGAGUAUUGGGAGAUUCUCAGGACGAGUUUGAGGUUGAAUACGACAACCUGCAUGAAAAAUACCAGGAGGCAAGGAAAAACGUGAAUGCGCAAGGUUGAGAGGAUCAUGAUCAUGCACUGUUAUAGUACUACCCAUGUAAUUGAAAAAAUCCAUCAUAUCUUAGUCUUGCGGAGGAUAUUUUUAUCUUAACAUGAACAGCCCUACAAUCUAUUCAACUCUUAAUAGUCUCACUAUCUCCAAAUGGUAAAGGCCAAGAGACUCAGGUGUUCAGCUGAAAGUUACCUGAACAAGUAGAUGAUGAAUAAUCAAGAGCCAAAGAGAGGCGCGUAAGAGAAUCUUCGUCCAUUGGGUCGGAUAUCUGAUCUCCUCUGUCACUGACUGCCGGACCUUGUGGCUUCCAAUGAUGACGAGACAAAGAAAGGCACGUAAGAAGAUAUUCGUCCUUUAGAACUCCAAUGUCACUGACUGCAGGAAAACUAUUAGAAGACAAGAAAAAAUGUGAAUGCUUGCUGAGAGGACCAUGAUCAUGCACUGCUAUAGUACUUACCAAUGUAAUUUCUGAGAUGAUAAUCAUUAGAUGGCUCAUAAUUAUCAGAUGACUCCCCAUAGAACCGAGCUGGAUGUUGGUCAAAAACAUAACUAGCUUGGUCCAAAUCAUGCGUAUUUUCCUUCAUAGGUUUGUUCCACACUAGAUUAACCAUUGUUCUCAUUGAUGACGUAUCAUAACAGUUUGCUGAAAGUUGAACUUCAACUUUAUCCCCACUUUGCAAUUUGAGCUUAUCGUUCGAUAGUUGUCCUUGCCAAAGUAUGUGCCAAAGAUUAUAGUUUGAAGGCUUAUCCCAAUAUCCGCUGCCUAAGUAAGCCUGCAACUUAGUACGCUUGGUAUUAUUUAUAAUAGUAAUGCCAAAUACAAAAUUACUUUCAAGUGAAUAUUUGUGCAAGAAGCACAUAGUCAGCCCUUCAAAAGUACGAUCAUCAUUCGGGGGAAUAACAAUGCUGACUUUAUUGUCAUCAUUGACAAACUCAAACCAAUCAGGUACAAAAUUCCCAUAGAGUAAAAUGCCACCAAAUCCGCACGAAGUCCAUCCCUACAUAUACAAUGCAAGUGUCAUAUACAUACAUACAUACAUACAUACAUACAUACAUACAUACAUACAUACAUACGUAUACAUGUAAACGUGUGUUUGUGUGUGCAUGUGCACGAUAGGAAGGCAAUGAGAGAUAGAGAGUGAGAUACCUGUAGGAUGUUCUUCCCAAAAUCAGCUGUGAGAUUGGUGCAGUUACUCAUAUCAAUCAAUGUCAUGAACUUUAAUGACUUAUCCAAGCUUGGAACCUCAAUGAGUUUGGGCGAAUCACUUACCUUCAACUCUGUCAUAUUUGACAUUUCCGAAAAAUUGGGCAUUGUUUCCAAUGCAGGGCAAUCAUCGGCAUACAGAAAUUUCAAAUUUGUUGGUAAAUCAGGGAUUGUACGAAGAUUAAAGCAGUCAUUUAUCCUCAAUGUUUCAAGCUUUGUAAGACCACUUAGGCUGGGUAGGGUAUGAAAAUUAUUCCCUCCAAGAUCCAAAACUUGUAAAGAAAUUAGACUCCCAAGAUCCUGAGGGAUUGCAUCAUGUGCUAAUUUCACACCUUUUAGGGAUAAAAGAGUGAGAUUCUUCAAUCUAACUGUGGAAGAUGGUAUUUGUCUUAUGGCUGUAUGCUUUGCUUCAAGUAUUCUCAAUGAUUUCAUCUCCCCUAAAUCCUCAUGCACUUCUCUGAAUUCGAAACAGUAACUAAGAAGAAGAGUCUCAACAGAUUUCAACUUAUAGAAAUCCCUUGGAAGAGAACUAAGCUUUUCGCAUUCUUUAAGGUUCACCAAAGAAAGUUUUUGAAGUUGACCAAUGGAGGGGUGAAUCUCGGACAAACUCCUACAAUUUUCCAGUAUCAACUCUUCAAGAUUUGGGACUUGUGAAAAGUCCGGUGAUUUAAUUAGAGAUAGGGAAAGACUAAGAUUCAGGAUUUUCAACCUCUCUAGCAACUGUUAUAGAAAACCAAAGGAAAAUUGAAAUUAAUAACCAAAAGGAAGAUGUCAUAAAUAAAUAAAUAAAGGUAAUCCAAAAACAAAUAGGAACAAAACAUCAUCAUGUGUAAUUGAUCGUAACUUAUAACCUUCCCAAACUUGUACCAGAUUGCUGUACUGCAUAUCUAAAACAACUAGUCUUGGUUGGUCAAAAAAGUCAUCUGGUAUGGACUUUAAAGGGCAUCCUUCCCAACACAACCAUAUUAACUCUUUGGGAAGAUGUUUGUAUUCUCCAUUGAGCUGAACGUAUUUGAGAUGAAGGAAUCUCAGUUUCUUCAUAUUGGCAAAUGCUUCUGUACUAAAACUAGGCAUGCUAGAGCUUCGAAGCCAAGGAUAAGGGAAAUUUAGAGCAAGUCCUUCAACUUCUUCAGUUCCCUGUUAACAAAAGGUUAUAUUCAUGUGUAAGAAACGAAUUAUUUGCAUAUAUUUAAAUGUAUUAUUAUUCAUUAGGAACUUCCCAAUGGGUCACCCAUCCUAGGAAUGCUCUCGUUCGAACUCACUUAAUUUCGGAGUUCCAAUGGAAUCGGAAGUCAGUGAGUACCCAAGGCCUCGUGUUAUAUGGAGGUGGGCAUGUACAUAUAAGGCACAUCACCCCCUCUCCGUUGGUCGAUUGUGGGAUGUUACAAAAAAUCACCUACAGUGAUUAUAAUUACACAUAAAUGUUGUUUAAUGUAUAAUAGACAUACGUGGGCUAUAUAUAUGUUUUCAAGCAGGAUGCAUUAUGCAAAAUUUUAUUGGGAAUGUACUUACAGAUUUAUUUCUCAACACUUCGGCAGUCUCUUGACGGUUCCACAACCUACUCCAUUUUCCAGGGUGACCAAGAGAUUUUUCAGAAAUGAUUACUCUGGCCAUUUCUCGAAGCAAAUCAUGCAUAUUCAACUUAUUCUGCUCAACAGUUAUAAGGCAUCGUUCACGGAGUACACUGAUUACUAUUGUUCCAUAAAAUCCGCAUCGAUCUAAUAUUUUUGUGACAUAGUCCUUAUCCUCUCCAAUAAAGAAACAAGAUACGUCAAGAAAUAUAGCCUUCUCUAAAGUAUCUAGCCCUUCAAAGCUUGUUCUGAGUCGAUUUACAAUGUUUCCAUAUGGAUAUCUUCCCAAUUUCUCCAAUUGACAUUCCCACUCUGCCAAUGAUCUUUUAAUCAAAAGAGAUCCUAAAACUUCAAGCGCUAGUGGUAAACCUCCACAAUAAGAAACAAUCUUUUCUGAAACUUCAAGAUAUCCUUGAUUAGGACAACUAUUUUUUAAAGGCAUGCCAACUAAAUAGCUCAAGAGCUUCUUCUUCAUUCAUUUCCUUAGCCCGAAAUGUUUUGUUCACAUUUAGUAGUAAACGUUCAUCUCGUGUCGUUAUGAUAAUUCUACUUCCAAGACCAAACCAAUCAUGACCUCCAACUAUUGCAUCCAGUUGAUCCUCUUUAUCUAUGUUGUCCACGAUGACAAGUAUCUUUCUAUUUGAAAAUUGUUGUCUUAUCAACUCGAUACCUUCAUCAACACAACUUAUUUCAUGCUUCUUUUUCAAGAUGUCAGAAAUAAGUUUUUUUUUGCAAAUAAACCAGAUCAUGUUUACUUGUAGCAUCGCGAACGUCGGCAAGGAAACUUUUGCAUUCAAACUGAGGAUGAAUUUGGUUAUAAAUGGCUUUGGCAGCUGUUGUUUUACCCAAUCCACCCAUCCCCGAAAUUCCAACCAUGAGAACAUCAUUUGAUCCACCACUUGAAAGAUAACUAAUAAUAUCUUGAACGCGAGAAUUGAUUCCAACUAUGUGCUUGGCCACAUGUAAUUCAUUAGUGUUGGUGAGCCAUUCACAAAUAUUCUCGUCAAUAAUUUUUUUAAUGAACUUUGCUUCGCCCCUGAAAAUUGAAUUCGUAAGCAUUAGUGGGACUCAAUGAAGGCUCGGUAGGAGAUAUCAAUACAUAAACAAUGUUCUUUCCUUCUUCCCUUCAUAAUAUAUAUAUAUAUAUAUAUAUAUAUAUAUAUAUAUAUAUAUAUACGAACUUGAAUAAAAGAAUUCAUUGAUAACUAAAAGUUAGGCGUAUGAAUUAAACUCCAAUUACGGUUUAGGUUACUUAUGAGAGAUUAAGGUGUAAUCAUUAACAGAUUUCAACUUAUAGAAAUCCCUUGGAAGAGAACUAAGCUUUUCGCAUUCUUUAAGGUUCACCAAAGAAAGUUUUUGAAGUUGACCAAUGGAGGGGUGAAUCUCGGACAAACUCCUACAAUUUUCCAGUAUCAACUCUUCAAGAUUUGGGACUUGUGAAAAGUCCGGUGAUUUAAUUAGAGAUAGGGAAAGACUAAGAUUCAGGAUUUUCAACCUCUCUAGCAACUGUUAUAGAAAACCAAAGGAAAAUUGAAAUUAAUAACCAAAAGGAAGAUGUCAUAAAAUAAAUAAAUAAAGGUAAUCCAAAAACAAAUAGGAACAAAACAUCAUCAUGUGUAAUUGAUCGUAACUUAUAACCUUCCCAAACUUGUACCAGAUUGCUGUACUGCAUAUCUAAAACAACUAGUCUUGGUUGGUCAAAAAAGUCAUCUGGUAUGGACUUUAAAGGGCAUCCUUCCCAACACAACCAUAUUAACUCUUUGGGAAGAUGUUUGUGUAUUCUCCAUUGAGCUGAACGUAUUUGAGAUGAAGGAAUCUCAGUUUCUUCAUAUUGGCAAAUGCUUCUGUACUAAAACUAGGCAUGCUAGAGCUUCGAAGCCAAGGAUAAGGGAAAUUUAGAGCAAGUCCUUCAACUUCUUCAGUUCCCUGUUAACAAAAGGUUAUAUUCAUGUGUAAGAAACGAAUUAUUUGCAUAUAUUUAAAUGUAUUAUUAUUCAUUAGGAACUUCCCAAUGGGUCACCCAUCCUAGGAAUGCUCUCGUUCGAACUCACUUAAUUUCGGAGUUCCAAUGGAAUCGGAAGUCAGUGAGUACCCAAGGCCUCGUGUUAUAUGGAGGUGGGCAUGUACAUAUAAGGCACAUCACCCCCUCUCCGUUGGUCGAUGUGGGAUGUUACAAAAAUCACCUACAGUGAUUAUAAUUACACAUAAAUGUUGUUUAAUGUAUAAUAGACAUACGUGGGCUAUAUAUAUGUUUUCAAGCAGGAUGCAUUAUGCAAAAUUUUAUUGGGAAUGUACUUACAGAUUUAUUUCUCAACACUUCGGCAGUCUCUUGACGGUUCCACAACCUACUCCAUUUUCCAGGGUGACCAAGAGAUUUUUCAGAAAUGAUUACUCUGGCCAUUUCUCGAAGCAAAUCAUGCAUAUUCAACUUAUUCUGCUCAACAGUUAUAAGGCAUCGUUCACGGAGUACACUGAUUACUAUUGUUCCAUAAAAUCCGCAUCGAUCUAAUAUUUUUGUGACAUAGUCCUUAUCCUCUCCAAUAAAGAAACAAGAUACGUCAAGAAAUAUAGCCUUCUCUAAAGUAUCUAGCCCUUCAAAGCUUGUUCUGAGUCGAUUUACAAUGUUUCCAUAUGGAUAUCUUCCCAAUUUCUCCAAUUGACAUUCCCACUCUGCCAAUGAUCUUUUAAUCAAAAGAGAUCCUAAAACUUCAAGCGCUAGUGGUAAACCUCCACAAUAAGAAACAAUCUUUUCUGAAACUUCAAGAUAUCCUUGAUUAGGACAACUAUUUUUAAAGGCAUGCCAACUAAAUAGCUCAAGAGCUUCUUCUUCAUUCAUUUCCUUAGCCCGAAAUGUUUUGUUCACAUUUAGUAGUAAACGUUCAUCUCGUGUCGUUAUGAUAAUUCUACUUCCAAGACCAAACCAAUCAUGACCUCCAACUAUUGCAUCCAGUUGAUCCUCUUUAUCUAUGUUGUCCACGAUGACAAGUAUCUUUCUAUUUGAAAAUUGUUGUCUUAUCAACUCGAUACCUUCAUCAACACAACUUAUUUCAUGCUUCUUUUUCAAGAUGUCAGAAAUAAGUUUUUUUUGCAAAUAAACCAGAUCAUGUUUACUUGUAGCAUCGCGAACGUCGGCAAGGAAACUUUUGCAUUCAAACUGAGGAUGAAUUUGGUUAUAAAUGGCUUUGGCAGCUGUUGUUUUACCCAAUCCACCCAUCCCCGAAAUUCCAACCAUGAGAACAUCAUUUGAUCCACCACUUGAAAGAUAACUAAUAAUAUCUUGAACGCGAGAGAGAAUUGAUUCCAACUAUGUGCUUGGCCACAUGUAAUUCAUUAGUGUUGGUGAGCCAUUCACAAAUAUUCUCGUCAAUAAUUUUUUUAAUGAACUUUGCUUCGCCCCUGAAAAUUGAAUUCGUAAGCAUUAGUGGGACUCAAUGAAGGCUCGGUAGGAGAUAUCAAUACAUAAACAAUGUUCUUUCCUUCUUCCCUUCAUAAUAUAAUAUAUAUAUAUAUAUAUAUAUAUAUAUAUAUAUAUAUAUAUAUACGAACUUGAAUAAAAGAAUUCAUUGAUAACUAAAAGUUAGGCGUAUGAAUUAAACUCCAAUUACGGUUUAGGUUACUUAUGAGAGAUUAAGGUGUAAUCAUUAACAGAUUUCAACUUAUAGAAAUCCCUUGGAAGAGAACUAAGCUUUUCGCAUUCUUUAAGGUUCACCAAAGAAAGUUUUUGAAGUUGACCAAUGGAGGGGUGAAUCUCGGACAAACUCCUACAAUUUUCCAGUAUCAACUCUUCAAGAUUUGGGACUUGUGAAAAGUCCGGUGAUUUAAUUAGAGAUAGGGAAAGACUAAGAUUCAGGAUUUUCAACCUCUCUAGCAACUGUUAUAGAAAACCAAAGGAAAAUUGAAAUUAAUAACCAAAAGGAAGAUGUCAUAAAUAAAUAAAUAAAGGUAAUCCAAAAACAAAUAGGAACAAAACAUCAUCAUGUGUAAUUGAUCGUACCUUAUAACCUUCCCAAACUUGUACCAGAUUGCUGUACUGCAUAUCUAAAACAACUAGUCUUGGUUGGUCAAAAAAGUCAUCUGGUAUGGACUUUAAAGGGCAUCCUUCCCAACACAACCAUAUUAACUCUUUGGGAAGAUGUUUGUAUUCUCCAUUGAGCUGAACGUAUUUGAGAUGAAGGAAUCUCAGUUUCUUCAUAUUGGCAAAUGCUUCUGUACUAAAACUAGGCAUGCUAGAGCUUCGAAGCCAAGGAUAAGGGAAAUUUAGAGCAAGUCCUUCAACUUCUUCAGUUCCCUGUUAACAAAAGGUUAUAUUCAUGUGUAAGAAACGAAUUAUUUGCAUAUAUUUAAAUGUAUUAUUAUUCAUUAGGAACUUCCCAAUGGGUCACCCAUCCUAGGAAUGCUCUCGUUCGAACUCACUUAAUUUCGGAGUUCCAAUGGAAUCGGAAGUCAGUGAGUACCCAAGGCCUCGUGUUAUAUGGAGGUGGGCAUGUACAUAUAAGGCACAUCACCCCCUCUCCGUUGGUCGAUGUGGGAUGUUACAAAAAUCACCUACAGUGAUUAUAAUUACACAUAAAUGUUGUUUAAUGUAUAAUAGACAUACGUGGGCUAUAUAUAUAUGUUUUCAAGCAGGAUGCAUUAUGCAAAAUUUUAUUGGGAAUGUACUUACAGAUUUAUUUCUCAACACUUCGGCAGUCUCUUGACGGUUCCACAACCUACUCCAUUUUCCAGGGUGACCAAGAGAUUUUUCAGAAAUGAUUACUCUGGCCAUUUCUCGAAGCAAAUCAUGCAUAUUCAACUUAUUCUGCUCAACAGUUAUAAGGCAUCGUUCACGGAGUACACUGAUUACUAUUGUUCCAUAAAAUCCGCAUCGAUCUAAUAUUUUUGUGACAUAGUCCUUAUCCUCUCCAAUAAAGAAACAAGAUACGUCAAGAAAUAUAGCCUUCUCUAAAGUAUCUAGCCCUUCAAAGCUUGUUCUGAGUCGAUUUACAAUGUUUCCAUAUGGAUAUCUUCCCAAUUUCUCCAAUUGACAUUCCCACUCUGCCAAUGAUCUUUUAAUCAAAAGAGAGAUCCUAAAACUUCAAGCGCUAGUGGUAAACCUCCACAAUAAGAAACAAUCUUUUCUGAAACUUCAAGAUAUCCUUGAUUAGGACAACUAUUUUUUAAAGGCAUGCCAACUAAAUAGCUCAAGAGCUUCUUCUUCAUUCAUUUCCUUAGCCCGAAAUGUUUUGUUCACAUUUAGUAGUAAACGUUCAUCUCGUGUCGUUAUGAUAAUUCUACUUCCAAGACCAAACCAAUCAUGACCUCCAACUAUUGCAUCCAGUUUGAUCCUCUUUAUCUAUGUUGUCCACGAUGACAAGUAUCUUUCUAUUUGAAAAUUGUUGUCUUAUCAACUCGAUACCUUCAUCAACACAACUUAUUUCAUGCUUCUUUUUCAAGAUGUCAGAAAUAAGUUUUUUUUGCAAAUAAACCAGAUCAUGUUUACUUGUAGCAUCGCGAACGUCGGCAAGGAAACUUUUGCAUUCAAACUGAGGAUGAAUUUGGUUAUAAAUGGCUUUGGCAGCUGUUGUUUUACCCAAUCCACCCAUCCCCGAAAUUCCAACCAUGAGAACAUCAUUUGAUCCACCACUUGAAAGAUAACUAAUAAUAUCUUGAACGCGAGAAUUGAUUCCAACUAUGUGCUUGGCCACAUGUAAUUCAUUAGUGUUGGUGAGCCAUUCACAAAUAUUCUCGUCAAUAAUUUUUUUAAUGAACUUUGCUUCGCCCCUGAAAAUUGAAUUCGUAAGCAUUAGUGGGACUCAAUGAAGGCUCGGUAGGAGAUAUCAAUACAUAAACAAUGUUCUUUCCUUCUUCCCUUCAUAAUAUAUAUAUAUAUAUAUAUAUAUAUAUAUAUAUAUACGAACUUGAAUAAAAGAAUUCAUUGAUAACUAAAAGUUAGGCGUAUGAAUUAAACUCCAAUUACGGUUUAGGUUACUUAUGAGAGAUUAAGGUGUAAUCAUUAACCAUGUGAAUGAAUGUUUAGAUUAUGUAAAAUGUUAAUUAAGCAUGUCAAUUAAUUGAGAGAUUAAGUCAUUCACUAAAAUUAGCAGCUCCUGUGAAGGAUCAACGUGAGAGAUUAAGGUGUAUUAAUUAAGCAUGUUAAUUAGAGUAAUACAACUUAAAUUUUGAAAAGCAGCUGAAUGAUUACCCAUCGUAAGCGAUUUUAAGAUGGUGACCAGACAAAUUUGCAGCUUUUGUGAGAGCCUCUCUCCACAGCUUUAGCCUUUCUUGUUUAGCUUCACGUUUCUUGUCAUCUUUUUCUUCACGGAUGUCCUUUUCGUGCUUCUGAAAUGCCUCGGCUAAAUCUCCGUCCUGCUUCCUGACAUGGGAAGGAUCAACGUGAUAGAAUAUUGGUAAAACAUGUCGCCCCAGUUUGCCUAUACACUCCAUGAUCUUCACCAGCUCGUCAAGACACCAACUCGAAUCCGCAUACAUCUUUGAGAAGAUAAUGACAGAGAUCCUCGACUCUUCGAUUGCACAAAACAGUUUCUCUUUUAUUUCUUCGCCUCUUGGUAGAUCGUCCUCAUCAAUAAAGACCUGGUACCCUCUGGCUUUUAAUGCCGCGUGGAGGUGGCUCGUGAAGCCAUAGCGCGUGUCUUCACCCCUGAAGCUCAAGAAUACGUUGUACUUCCAGAGUUUGGACUUGGAGGAGGACGAAGAGGAGGCUUCGUGGGCUGUCAUGGCGGUAUCCACCGUUAUGGCAUAGCAGUGGUUCUGAUCACAGACUGAAAAAAUAGCAAUAGUUGUGUUUGUGUUGGCGUGUUGACCUAAAAAGCGACAGUAAUAGGGCUGGGAAAAGUCAUCCACACGUCACAGGACGGUGAAAAACAAACAAUAUUAUGAGAGAGGAAGAAAUAAAUAAAACUCUGAAAUUCAUAAAAAAUAUUAUCUCCUUCUUCAACUUGCAACAAACAAACAAAAAAAUCACUUUAAAAUAUUCCGGUAGAAAAACCCAUCACAGAACUAGCAAAUUUAGGAGAGAGAAAGAGACCUGCACUCAAAUCGUAAGUUCACCCGUUAAAUUUUCCAAUUCAGAAUCCAGAUCGGGGGUUUUUUCCCUUCAGGUAUUCAAAUUUUGGGCUUGGUCGAGCAUUUUCAAGGGAUUUUUGUAACUUGGAAGCCAUUUUUUCAAUUUCAUAGCCGGAGGGCGGUCUGAAAUGUGGGGGGAGAAGUUGGAGGGAAAAGUACUUUGGUGUUCUUGGAUUUAUCGAGAUGGAGGAAGAGGAAGGGGGAAGGGGGAAGGGUAAGACCGUGGGAUAGAGAAUAAAAUUAUUUUUAAUGGUAUUUUUUAUGGAAAUUGAUAAUCUUAUAAUCUCUUCCUUUUAAUCCACAAAAUUAGAAAAUUCAUGCAAUUAAAAAUUGAUCCAACGACUGAAAUGAUUAUAACUUCUAAAAUGAAUCUUUAUUUGUAGUCAUUGGAUCAAAUUUAAACGGUAUGGAUUUCCUAAUUUGAUGGAUUAGGAUCCCUUAUUAAAUUAACAAUGAGGUCCAGACUCACCAUUAAUGUUUGUCACUUUUCUUUUUCUAAAAGCCAUUUUUGUAUAUUAGCACUUUACUAGGAGCACGUCAAAAUUUGUAGUAAAAUUAUAGGAAGUUUUCAAAAGGAGCACGUCAAAAUCUGUGGUAAAAUUAUAGGAACUUUUCAAAUAUUUUUUAUUAGUUUUUUUUAAAUUCUAAGGAGUUUUAACAAAAAGUCCGCGGUACUGUUCAUUUUAACGAAAAACUAUAUUUUUACACUAAAAAGUCAAAUAUGUUACUAUUCACUUUACCUUUUAUUUUGUCCUUAUUGUUAAAACUCAAAGUUUUCAAACUAUUUUCAUUAAUUUUCCUAAAAUUUUAUCCUUUAAAAGCACUUAUCAUUUUUUUUGCACCAACAUCAUCAUAAUGCUUUUAUAAUAUUGUUUGAAAGCACUUUUAAUAACUCUAUAAACUUCAAUGAAUUAGCCAAACUAGGAAAAGUUGACAAAUUAAAAUUUUUAGCUCAUUUUUUUAUUUAGUUUUUUAUUCUAAUUCAACUUUAAUUCAUUACUUUAUACAAAUUCAACAUUAUAUUCAGAGCUUCACCAUAUUGACAUACUUAAGAUGCGUUGAGUUAAUUAUUUUCUUUCUAUCAAUUAAUUAGUUCGAAUCCAAAUGAUAUAAAAAUAAUAAUAGCAUGAAAUCCUAAUUGUCUAUCUAAGAAGGCACACAACACACCACUCCAUUACGAAAUUGGAAACAAAAAAAAAGUGAGAAAUAUAGAGUGUGCAUGCAUGCCAAGUAAUAUCCACAUGAACUAAAAGAUGAGAAACUCUUAAUAAGAGCACUGUUGAAAACGAAAAUUGGUUGCCUUUCGAUUAUUCAUCUCUAAAAAUUUAUGGUAGGUGGGUAGUUAUAUUGGUGGUACGUGUGUAGUUAUUGUUGGAUCUCACAUUAAACUGAAAUCAGAUCGUGAAAAUCCUUGGAAGAAAACUGCUAAUUCGUUCGUGCUUUUUCUUCGUCGUCUUUGAGGUUGAACACGUAACAUUUUUCUCUUAUUCUUUUUUCACUUUUUCGUUUUCUUUUCUAUUUUUAUUAUUAUUUAUUUUUAAUUAAUUUUUCACUACAGAAUAAGCACGUUUCUACUUUUUAUUUACAUUAUUUUUUUUUAAUACAGUUAUGUUUUUUUACCACUUUGUCCUCAUUUUUUUAUUUUUUUUGAAUUUAGAUUGUGAAGAAAAUUAAGGAUCAUUUUUCGUAUUUUCGAAUGCUUCGACCGCUCAACAUAAAAAAUGAUGUGGUAGAAAGAAAGAAUCACGCUGUACAAGCAACAGCAUCGGGAGACCAAAUACUAGCAUUUAAGGGCCGAAUUAAUGUGGGCUGGGACAAGUGGUCCAUUGGGCUUUCGGAUCAAAGUAAAUACAAGUGGGAAAGAGUACAGAGAGGAGUACCGCCUCGCCUUACGCCUUUCUUCCGUCGGCGUCGUCUAGGGUUUUAGUUGUAACAGAGCCUAUAAGAGCACGAUAGCCCCUGUAAUUCAUCAACCUUCAAUUCACAGACCUGACCGGAGUCUGGAGACUGAACCGCCGUAGAAAUAUUACUGUUACCAUCCUCCUCUUGGUGAUCGCCCUGCCGGCCUUCCGGAUUCGGGAACUUCUGGAUUCAGGGCCUGCAUAUGGACAUGGCGAUUAGCAAAGGGAUGACGGUAAUAUUUAAUUCAUGAUGUUGGUAAACUCGUCGGAAAAUCGACCCCGGCGAAGGCAAACUCACCGGGGGCAGAGCUCUAAAAUUAUGCUAAAUUUCAGUGCUUUUUGCUGUUUAACUUUGUUUUUGUAACUCGUCUAAAUUUGGAUUAUGUGAGAUUAGGUAUAUUCUGAGAUCGCAUCACCAAUCCGAGUAGUGUUGCAGCAGCAAAAUGAAAAUUGGGACAAGAUAUGUUGGUGGAAAUCCUAUCAAAUCUGCCUCCAAUAGUCUGAUGCGAUUCAAAUGCGUCUCUAAAUGGUGGUAUGCUUGCAUCACCAAUCCGAGUUUCGCAUUGAAGCACCUCUCCAACUCCGCCAACAACAGCCUCACCACUCGUGACUAGACCUGGCAUUUUGGACCCGACUUGUUAAACCGACCCGACCCGUUAAUAUUAGUAUUUGAAUGGAUGCUUAACUGGUCGAGUCGUUAACGGAUGAACCCGUUUUUCUUUGGACCAACCCGUUAACACCGUUAGUUGAAGAUGUUAUAGUAAUUUUAGUAAAGUCUUAACAAUAAAAAAUAAAUUCUAUCAAAAAAAAAUAAUAAUAAUAAUGGGUGUUAAUGGGUGAAACGGAUGACCCGUUAGCUUAACGAGUCGAUUUUGGAUAACCCGUUAGCUUAACGGGUCGGAUUCAAUCCGACCCAAAUCCAAUAAAUCCAACCCGUUUACAGGUCUACUCGCGACCUCCUUUUCAAGAGAUAAGUAGUGCAGCGGCAGCAUGAGGUGGAGGAAACUAAACAAGUAUUCUCGUUGCUUAAGUUAUGCAAAGACGAUGGUAAUACCCAUGACGAGGAUAGCAACAACUACUCUCUUCUUGGUGUCCCGGACAUUAUUUUUCCUCACUCUUUGAUUCAGAAGGUCGGAGCCCCGGAACAACUGCAUAUUAUAGGCACUGCAAUGGCAUUGUUUUACUAUAUAGUAAGAGUAGCUUUGUUUUAUGCAAUCCCGGAAUUGAGGAAUUCAUUCGUGUUCCCGAUGAGCCAUAGUAAGAGUAGCUUUGUUUUACUAUAUAGUAAGAGUAGCUUUGUUUUAUGCAUAUUAUAGGCACUCCAACGAUUACGGGAAUGUUCAUAUGUAGUCUGUCUGUCUGCAAUAUUUGAUGGAUGCAUGUUCUAUGCCAUAUUUGAGCCUCCUCUACGGGAAGUCGACGGAAGAAGAAGAAGAAGAAGAAGAGGAAAAAAGCUCGAGAAAUGGUUAAUGCUCUGGAUGAGGGCAUUACUAGCUUGACCUUCUGCGUAACUCGCUUUCCAUUGUAUGAAAUCGACUACGAUGACAAAUCUCUGAAAUUCUUGGACGAAGAUUGAUGAAAUCGGCCAUUGGACAAGUUCUCUGGAUUCAUAUAAUUGCAAGCAAGUUAGCAACUCUGAGGUCGAACAAAGUUAUAAUACAUCAAUCAUUUGCAAACGUGGAGUAAUAUAUCAAUAUUAAAGGUUCCAGGGAACGAAAGGGGAGUUAUUGAUAGUAUAUCUAGUGAACUGAUGAAGAGUUCUCUAGGCCGCAAUCAUUUUUCCAUCUGGAUAUGCAAGUUUGUAUAUAACGUCAUUUGUUCAAAGAGAUUCAACAUUAAUUAAGGGUGAUGCUAAAGAGAUCAUCUUUUUGGACCAUAUUUAUAGACCAUAUGAUGAUGAUGUGAAGGUUGAUGAUUGUAUUAUUUCUUUGGUCGUACCCAGUGCACAAGGCUCCCGCUUUACGCAAGGUCUGGGAGAGGUGAAUGUCGGCUAGCGUUACCCCCAUUUAUAGAGAGGCUGCUCCCAAGUCUCGAACCCGAGACCUACCGCUCAUGGGCGAAGACACUUACCAUCGCACCAAGUGCGACCUCUAUUGUAUUAUUUCUUUAAACUAUUAAAAAUGAAAUCUAACUAUUAACAAUGAGAUUUAUUUAGCCAAAUAAGAAAAAGAAAAAAGCUUCAAAAACUCUUAACUUUAAGGUUUCACUUGAAUAUAUAACAUUAUUAUAUAAUAAAUUGAAAAGAAAUAUUUUUACACUUAUAAGGAAUGUACAAUGAGAUUUUAAAGUGCUAAUAAAAGUAUAUUUUUAAUAUAUAGCAUUAUUACAUAUAAAUGUAAGAUGACACAUUUUUGGGAGCCCUUCAAAUUUGAAAGUCCUGUGCGAUUAUACCUUUCGCUCGCCCACAACACCGCCUAUGUUGUCCAUGAUGACAAGUGCCCUUUUUAUGUCGAAAUUGUUGUUUUACCAGACUGAUAUCUCCAUCAAUACUACUUAUUUGAAACUUCUAUUUCAAAAUGUCAGAAACAAGUUUUUCUUGCAAAUCAACCAGACCAUGUCUACAUGUAGUGUCACUAACGUUGGCAAGGAAACUUGUGAAUUCAAACUUACAAUGAAUUUGGUUAUAAAUGGUUUUGGCAGUUGUUGUUUUACCCAACUCACCCAUCCCCCUAAUUACAAUCAUGACAACGUCAUCUGAUCCACCACUUGAAAGAUGAUUGAUAAAAUCAUCGUGGGGGAUUUUCGAGGAAUUCGAGUAGUUGACUGCUUUUGAAACUUGGUCUCACAGACGGCCACAGUGAGGUAGCAGCUGUGGAGUACUCCUUUAUCCCAGCAUUCCUUGACGACGUCGUUCCUAAAUCUAAGGUACUUUCUGAUACUUGAUGCUUGCUCAAUGCUCAGCUAAAUAAGUUAGAGAUUUCUUUGAAUGAUUGCUUUAUGGAUUUUGAAUAUGUUCAGUUUUGUUGGAAAAUAUUAGUAUAUUAUAAUUAUUUGAGUUUGCUUGUUAGUUAGUACUAGCUAGUAAUGCCCGCGCGUUGCUGCGGGAUUACAAAUUGAUCUUAUAGCAGUGUAUAAAUUUGAGUUAGUAUCAGUGUAACAUUAAUUAAUCUAAACAAAAUUACCAUAGUGAAGGAAAAAAAUUUAUUUGCUAUAGAAAAAUUAUAGUUUUGAUACCUUAGACCAUCUCUAACCCUUGGGCUAAAAGCCAAAUUUUUUAACCCGGAAAAUUUGGCUUUUAGCCCAGAAACAUCUUUUCUGCUCCAACCCUACUGCCCUAAAAUUUUAGCCCGGAAUUAUUAAAGAAUGAACUUAGGCUAAUUUUUUUCUUAAAUCAAUUUUUUUUAAAAAUAAAUAUGUAGAUUAUUGUAAAUUAAUUUUAUGAACAUUUUAAUCUAAAAAAAAUUUAAAUUCCAAUAAACAUUUGCCAUUUAGCACAGGGGGAAAGCUGGGGGGGGGGUAUUUGGCCCAGAAAUAACAUUUGGCAUUUAGCCUAAAAUUUUAACAUGGGUUGGAGAGUGUUUGGGGGGUAAUUUGACUUUUAGCCCAGGUUUGGAGAUGGUCUUACAAAGGUAAUUUGUUUUAAAAGAUUGAAAGCCAGCGGUUUUCAAUCUUGAAAUUCCACAGCAUCCUUUGACUUUGAAAAAUAGCGACCAUCAUCGGAUAGAACUAUUGUACCACCUACAGGAAAGAAAAAACAAUGAGUUACUGCGAUAUUCUUAUACACAAAAAGAAAACACUUGACACUGAAUGAACAAAAUAUUCAAACAUGGAAAGCACAUCAUGAGGGAUAAUCUAUCAUUUUUGGCCAAGUGAGGAAUGAUAUCUUGAGUACCAAGAGAGAAAAAAGUAGUUCUACAUUAUUUUAUGAUACCUGAUGGGUUAGUCUUGUAUUUCACUUUAUUUAUAAAAUCGACUACUGAUAUGAUUACAACCUUGACAACAUCACCCCUAGUAUUGGAUGUCCAUCUAAUUUAACUUAAAUUUCUUCUUCAAUCUUGGAUAUACAUAAUGUUUCAGUUUAUGUUUUACCACACAAAAAAUUUUUGAGUCUAAAUGGGUUUUAUAAAUAGAUGAUAAAACUGCAUCUCAGUAGAAUCUAAGACAAUGAAAAUUGAAUAUUAUUUACCAUAAACUGACAUGCAAAUUUAAAUGCAAGAAUGCAAAUGAAGAGAUUCGCUUCAUCAUGUUCAACAAGGAAAUAAAUAGCAACGAAAAUAGUAUGAUUUGGUGACCCUUACCUUUAACUUAAUCCGACAAUAAGGCAUUAAAGGUUGACCAAACCAAAUUCUGCAAGUAAUGAGGUUGCAUAAAAAAUUUUGCCUCAAAAAUUAAAGCCACUAUCAUACAAAGGUUAAUAAGAAAAAUCCAACCCAAUAAUCACAUCUGUCUGAGAAGUGUAUUUCAGCUUAGAAAACAUGCAUGCUGUGUGUGUGUGUGAGAGAGAGAGAGAGAGAGAGAGAGAGAGAGAGAUGUACCUUCUUGUGGAAAGCAAAUGUUCAGGGCUGGACAAAAAGCUUUCGAGAUAUGUACUUGAGUUUUCUGGUGAAGUUCACACAUUCAGUAUUGAAAUUCAUAUAUAUAUAUAUGACAGAGUAAAAGAAUUCUAAGAUAAAAAAAUAAUGAUUAACUUAAAAUGAUCACACAGUUUCCCAAUAGUCAUUUUUCUAGGCUUUCCCAAUUUUGCUGAAAAGCAAAGUUUUUUGCUCGGUUGAGUGUUUGUGAAUCACUCAUAGUACUAAUUAAUUCUUCAAAGCAUGAAUAUCCCAAUGUUCCUUCAGUUUAGUAUAGAACUGCCCAAGGUAAUUGUAAACGUUACUUCAAUAACAGAGUUAGUGUUGUAGGACUCAGCAUAAGGAACAAUCAGAAAGAUGCAAAUGCAGAAAACUAAAUUAGCACCUAUAACACAUGGAACCUCACUUUCUCACAGUGGCUUAAUCUGUCCUCCACCAUUUAAGUAACCUGUUUAAUUCCAGUUAAUAUUACUUCCAAAAUCCCAAACCCACAUGAUGGAUAAUUCAACAUAUCAAACCACAUAUUUAUUUUUUGAAGCAUUAAUAAGUAGAAAAUUUGACAACCAAAAUCAAAUCAGGAUUGAGAACCUGGAAUUUAUUGGAAUUAGGGAUCCAUUAAUACAACCAUGCCUCAGUCCAAAACUAAUUUUUUUUAUUUGGCCUAAAAUAGAAAAAAAAACCCAAAACUUUAAAUUCAAAUAUUAGACAAAUAUAUUUGAAAAGGAUAAAGAUUUUAGAGACAAAGUGAGGACAGAGAGAUGGGGGAGCACCUUGGGCAAGGAGGUGGUUGACAGAUUUGUUGGAGGAGUCAGUCCAAUUUUUCACAAUCUCCUUCAAGCUUGCACCAACAAUUAAAAACAGACAAACACAACAUGAUUGCAGAACGGAAUUAGAAACGAUCUAAUUUUGGGAAAACCUGAGGCUCGAACGCACGUCCAAUGACAAUUGCUGCUUGAGUUUAGUAACAUUAAUUAAAUACAAUACAAUGUUUGCUUGUUUAAUCAUGUUUAGUGAUGCAUUGGAAUGCUCUCGAGGAAACAACUAAAGAAAAUACAUAACUUAGUAUUCGAUAAUGCACAUUAUAACUCAUUUUUAUGCAGAAAUUAAGGUCCCAUUUGAUAACCAUUCUGUUUUUGUCAACUUAAGUUUACUUCUCAAAAUGUAACAGAAUGCAAGGUUCUCAACUCAAACACACUUAAGUUGACAUCUGCAGGUGUAAGAGUAGCACUAUAAUGUAACAAAAGACUUAACACUACUCAAAAGAUUGCUGUUGAAGAAUCCAUAUUCUAAUUAGCACUAAUCACGACACGAAUACACUAAAGUCGAAACUUAAGUAAAAAACUAUGGAAAACAGAUGCAUAAUGACAGGGAGACACGAACCUAAAAAGCAAUCAAUACCUUUAACUCUUUGUUCAUAAGCAGCUUGGUAACACAUCAUUAAAGCUGCAGCCUCUCCGUUUAAAGCGUCAGAAGGAUUGGGAUACAGCAGAAGUUGUGGCAACAACACUUCAAAUACGUUUGCAAGAUCUGGAAACACAGGCAGAUGUAAGAGAAUAAAACUUGGAUUUCGGUACUUUCCCCAUGCUUAUAAGAGAAUUUAUUGUAAGUUUGGUCUUACAGGGUACAAAUAAUGAUAAGCCGACUACAAUACUACCUGCACAAAUACAGUUCUGUUCCAACACGGUUUCCUCAGAGGAUGCGGCUGCUGCAGAUCAAGUUCAAUCUUGAUUCUGUUUUGUAUUUAGUUCACAUGCUGCUAUUUAUUUGUAAUCCUACUUCUACACGUUUAUCAAUUGUAAUUAGUGCAAUGACCAAACAACAAAUUCCAUUAAAAAAAACUAACCAAAAAUCAAAUCAUAAAUCUCAGAAAGCCCAAUGCAUAAAAUUGCAGAAAUAGGGAAGGAAUCAUAAUAAAAACAAAUGAUACAAACACACACAGAGAAAAUAUAUACUUGUAUGUACUUAGCUACUAUACAAACCGCUCAUUCAAUUGCCUCAUUCCCUUUUCCCCUACUAAAUAAAAAAGGGGUCAGUGAAUCAAUACAAAUAUUCAUUGAAAUAAAAAAAAUUAAAAAAAAUCCAAGAUUUUCCUCAAGGGAUAUCCCAGAAUUUAAAUUCACGCUAAACCCAUUCCCUAAUUCUCUUAAUUGUAGGCAACCCAGAAACAAAAAAAAAUGAAAAACUUAUUCUCAGUAUCCAAACAGCUCAAAACCCAGAACCAAAAGAAAAAAACAUAAUACCUUUGCGGGUUUGGAGCUCUUUUCUUAUAAUUGUUACAGUAUUGGUGUUGCGGCUCAAUUCGUGGUGUUUCCGUCCGUAUCAAUUGAAGGUGGGGCAGCUGGUUUGGGUGAAAAAGAAGAGGAGGAUCCGAGCCUACAAACAAAAUCACAAAAAGCAAACAUAAACAUAAAACCCAUCUGCAAAUCUAAAACCCCAAAAAAAAAUUAAAGCACCCACAUUGAGAAAGCUGUCAAACUCACCAGGAAACGCCAACGUUUCUGGGUAAAAAAUUGAAUCGGAUCUAAUUGCACCGUUGUGGAUAAUUCCUCAGAGAAAGAUGGAAGGUCGGAGGGCGAGAAAAAUCGCCGUUUUGGAGACAGAAAGCUAGAGUUGAGAAAGGCGAGAGAGAGAGAAGCGAAAGCAAAGAAAAGUCGAAAGCAGGUCCAGCGAUGAUCGACGCGUGCGAAAAAUGGAAACGGAAGGGAAAAAGGGAGAAGAAAAGUGGAGGAGUAGGCGUUGCACAGCGAUGGUCAACACGUGCAUCCAAUGGGCAAAAACGUAAUCUCACUGUUCAAAGCAGGUCACAAAGGAGGAAACCAAGAAGAAAUCCAGGGGGUAAAAUUGUCAUCACACUGGUCAUCCACAGUGACCAGGGGGUUUUGAGUUUUAGUAUAUACUAGCAAAAAUGCCCGCGCACUGCUGCGGGUCUUGAAACCGUUGAAGAUGAUACUAUUGUUUAUUAGCUUUUUUCUCUUUGAAAUUUGGACUGGACACUUGAAUGUCAAAUGGGUUUUUUCUAUUUAUGUUUUGUACUGUGUUUCUUUGUUUGAUUAUACUUUGGGUUAUUGAUUUUGCUUUAUCCAACCUCUAGAGUCUAGAUGGUAGUGAUGUUUCGUUACUUAGAAGCUCUCAUUCCACAUAUCUCCGCCAUAUUUAUAAAAUCAACAACAAAAAACAGAAAAGAAAAGAAAAUACUCUAACAAACAAAAAAUGCAAGAUAAAUUUACCACUCGAUCAUAAUAGGGGAAAACAAUUAAACCGUAAAAUUAAAAACAAUUAAACCCAGCAAAUUUUCUGUAAUUAAAAAAACACAGAAAACAGUUGGCAACAAAGAUUUAGAGUUAAUUUAUACCAUGGAGUGCCAACUGAUGGACAUAAACAGGAUGCAAAGCGAAAUUUGAAAACAAAAUAUUCCAAAACAAAAAAAGAAACAAAGGUGGAUCAUAUAAGAAUCUUCUUUCUUUAAUCAUAUUGUAUUGCAUUAUUUCAAAAACUAAGUAUCUAAUUUCACCCAAAAAAAAUUACCUAGAUCAAAUAUUUCACAAAAAUUAACAACUCCAGAAGUUACCUUCCAAGAGAUGAGUUGGUAGCUUCUAUCACAAAAUCAAACACAAUUUCAACAUAAACUUGAAAUUAAGGAAAUGACUUAACACUAUAACGAUUCGAAAGCAUUGGAAUUUAAAUCACAAUUCUUACAAAUUCAGCUAGAUUAUGACUAUAAUUCGUCAGUAGCUCAACCCUCUCUUGCUCAUACAUGAAUAUCGUCUUUCGGAGGCCAUGGCUGCAACAAAAUAACAGUACAAUUUUCAUUUCCCACUACCAACUGUGCGGCAGAUGGACUUCUGUGUAGAUGCAAGCUCGUGAUCUGGGAAUGAUUCCUCCAGUCAUGUUUUUCUGCCAACAUAUUAAUUUUGCUCAAUGAUAAUGCCAUAAUUGAAAUAUAUUUUUUUUAUAGAAAUGAUGUAAUGGGUUAAUCUGAAAUUCCGAACUUUUGGUGAUGAUUGAACUCUUCCAUGACUGCUACUGUACUUGUUCAAAUCAACAUAAUUUUAAACGUUCACAAACGACACAUUCACAGCGCCACAAUAUUUAACAACUACUAUGCACAGUUUUUUAAAAAAAUGAGUAUAAGACUAACCUUUACAGAGCACCUACGAAUCACUUCCAAAAUGAGAUACACAAAAUCUGAAACAGCACCUAUCCAAAGUUAAAAAACAAAACUAAUUAAAUAACAAUUAGGCAAGAACAACAAAAUGUGACAAACAAAAUGAAAACACCAAAAUCAUAUAAGGGUUGAGAAUCUCUAAUUUAUUAGAAUUAGGGAUUCCAUUAAUACAACUAUGUCACUCUAGUACUAAUUUUUUUAUUUGGCCAAAAACAGAAAAAAACUGAAAACACCAACUUAAAAGAGUAGGCAAAUGAAAAACAUUCACACCCACACGUAUCAAUUUACACAUAACUUUCAAUUUUGAAUCAUUUGGGCUUCCAAAAUUUCAUCACCCAUAAAUUCAUAUAUAUUUCCAUUAACUCUCUCUCUCUCUCUCUCUCUCAAAUUACAAAUCUCAAAAGGCUUCACAAAAAAGUUAGCAAAAGAAGCGCACACCCGCAACAAUAAUUCACUUUCCUUUCCAACUAUCUUCUUCUCUCUCUCUCUCUCUCUCUCUCUCCAACAUUACAAUUACACACAGAGAUCCCAUUCAAUCAAGACUCACCCCAAAAUUGAUAUCAAGCUUUGUUGCACAGAAUACCUUACAAUUGACAGCACGUUUACAAAGGUUUUGAAAGGCUUAGAUUCAACUUUCAAAUAUGUAAGAGUCUGAGCUUCAAAACCAAAACAAACCCAAUUGCACUUUUAGUUCACUAACCCCAUUGAAUAAAAUCCCAUUCAAUAAAAUAAUAGAAAAUUAAACAACCCAAAAAAUCAAAACAACCCCACUUGUAGUUUUAGCUCACUAAUCCGUUGGAUAAAUUGAUGCAAAAUGCAAUCAGAAAACAUACAAUUAACAACAACCCAGAAGAGCCAUCCAAAACCCCAACCAAUUAACCAAAAAAUACCACUUGUACUUUUAGCUUAGUCUUCCGAUUGAAUCAGAUCUAUCAUCAAAUUUCAAUCAGAAAAUAGAAAAUUAAGAACAACCCAGUAUUUCCACUCACCUGCUGUGAAACUUGUCCCUGUUGAGCAGCAGUAGGAACGGGUAAACUGGGUGAUAUAUACAACCGAUUAAAACACUCAACUUUAGCUGCUUCAGCUACAUAACAGAAAAUGAAAAAAUGUUAGCACAACAAUAUAAAUGCAGGUAAAGGAGUCAAUAUAUGGAGCAACCAUCUUGCCCUCCCCCGACUGUUUGUCUCUUAAGCUAAAUUGCCAUCCAAAACAAAUAGAACAAACACUCACUUACCCUCUAUUUCUGUAAACGGAUCCUAUAACCGACAUCGAAGCUAAGCAUCUAAAACCCUCCUUAGAAGUUAGAAGUAAAAGUUCUCUACUUUAUGGAAGAAUUAAGCACCUCUAUGCCACUAAAACCAAAUCAUCCUAAUAAUUCACCCUCCAAUUUCAUGCCCGAACAAAAGAACGGAAAUUAAUCACCAUGUUCUUUAAUUGAAAAAUAAAAAUUGGGGUAAGCCCAGUUCUCAUUUCUAGCUGAGUUCACUCCAUCUAAAUGCUCAUCCAACAAAAUAAAAAAAAAUAAAAAAUUGAAAUUCCAACUUCUUUGUUGCCUCCUAUAUUUUAUUAGCAUUCAAAAAGUCCUUAACUUGGAGCUUUAGAGCUUUGGAGCUAGGAUUUCAAAAGGUGAGCUUGUGAGUGCAUGAGAGAGAGAGGGCAUACCUGGCCAUGGGAGAGAACGGAGGCUAUAGAAAGAGCUAUGCUCGGCUUCUCGCCGACUUGCAAAAAUGUAAAAGCACAAACAGAAAGGAGAAUCAAAGACAAAAUUCCAAGAUAAAUUCCAAAAAUUCAAAAUUAUACGCGAGAGAGAGACCUUGUUGAUAUUCGGAGUUAGACUCAGAGAGACGAAGCUCCGAGUUACAGAAAUGGAAGCCAGGUUUGUGCGGUUUUGGUUUUCAGAAGCAGGAGCCGACACUAUUGCAGAGAUCGGCUAGAAUUGGUGUUGUUGAUGCUAGGGUUUGAGAAAGGGGAAUGAAGGCCAAAUGGGUGUGUUUGGAUCAAAACUUGAACUUUGGGCUCAAGAAAGGAGUUGGCCCAAAAGGAGGUCCGAAAAAGAAGAUAGCCGAAGCCCAGUCAAAGCCCAGAAAGCAGGGAAAUGCCUUUUCUGACUUGGUGCAGCUCAUGAAGACCACUUGCUUACCUACCCAAAAGCCAAGUGGUGUAGACUGAUCAGCUACACAGCCCAUAAAGUACUUUAUGGUGGCAUUACAUGUAAUAUAACUGAUGAGUCAUCACCCUCAAACCGCAUUCGGGCAAAGUUGCUGCUACCAAAGGCCAAGCCGAGUUGUCUAUAUAAGAAGAAAGAAAAUCCAGGAUUAAGGACACUCAAUCAAACAAACAAAUGCAAGCACAAACUCUGCUUAAAGGCAGAUUUGCCUUCAAAACAAAGCUGUAGUCAGCCUUCAUCCCUUUCGGGAUAAACCUCCAUUCCUUUCGGGAUAACCCUCUCUUCAACCCUUUGUAAUAGCUCUGCUACCUUGUUAAACCUUGCUGUAGUAUCGAUUCAUCUUUUGUAAUCUCUCUCUCCCUACCCCUCUAAAGCUUUCAGACCUUUGACAAAACUACAAAGAUAGGAACCUGCAAGACGAGCAACCUUACCCGAUAAGGUUUAACCUUGCCCGACCUUCUUUACUUUAGUCUUGUCUUUUCAAUAUGUUGUAUACUUCCAGUUAUAUGCAAGUUAUUUCUAGCAACAUGACUAUUAAAAAGCUUUCUCAGCACUUGAAUCCGAUUUGAAUAUAUUGUCAGUGUUCAAACCAGAUCCAAGUCCUAAGCCCUCGGGCAUGUAAAUCUGAUCAGUUAAAAGUCCUUGGCCUCAAGGCAUAAAAAAGAACUUUAUGUGGACUUAACCCAUCCACGACAGUCCUUGAUAAACGAGAAGUCCGAAGUUACUUGGGGUGCAAGUAAUCAACCUACCUUCUAGUUUUCUUUCUAUUAUGUCAUGAUUAUCAUAGAACGCUUGAGCAUGGAAUGGAUUCUAAUGGAAAGCCUCAAGGCCUACACCUAAGGCCCCACAAAGGCAUCUAUUUGGAUUCAUUCCGUUCGGCGAUCUAAAGAGUCUAAGUAUAAGAAUGAACUCUGAUGGGAAGCCUCAAGGCCUACACCUAAGGCCUCACAAAGGCACCUAUUUGGGUUCAUUCUACUUCUUGGAUUCGGGUAAUCAGAAGUAUAAUAGUUAGAAAACUCCUACAAUCAUGAGAACAAAUAUGAUGCGUUCGAGCACUGGUUUAGUUAUUUAUGGGAAGCCUCAAGGCCUACACCUGAGGCCCCACAAAGGCACCUGUUAUAACUAACACAGUUUCUUGGAUACAUACAUAUAUACAACUAAAGCACGACAACCAUUUUACAUCUGCCAUGCUAAAGAUGGCAGUGGCACGCAUGAGCACCUAAAUGUUAACCUUGAUUAUGAGCCUCAAGGCCUACACCUAAGGCCCUACAAAGACACCUCUCAAAGUUAACGAUGUCCUUCUCUUUCAGCCUUGCCCGAAGAGUCUUACCCGACGAGACUUGCCCGACAACGCCCGACAGCGAAGCAGAAGCCCGACAGCAGCCCUCAACCGGCGCCAACCUCUAGGGGAGCUGUGUGCUCGUCGGCCAGGAAACAUCCCCGACGAAGAUUCCUGACACGAACAUAGUUUUGGCACGCCCGGUGGGAUCCUUGAUCAGAAGAUAUAUGUCAAAAUGCCAGAAGGUUUACAAACUACGUUACUACAAAUGUUGCAAAGGUUGGAAAGAGACUUAAAACCAGCCCGCCUGAAGAGCUGGUGGUAGACAAACCUGCAGUUCCCUUUUCAGAAGUCCCUGUAAAUAUGAUCAAUAUGACAUGGGCUGAGAAAGGAAAAGAAAGUAUUACAAAGGAACCAGAAGAGAAGAGAUUGGCUGAAAAACCUACAUGAUGGGUCAUUAAAACACCCGAAUAUCCAAAAGCAGCCAUAAUCAACGGGAUGGUCAUGUGCAGUAAGUGCCACUGCGAGUGUGAGCUUGAAAUUCCCCCGGCUGGAGUACUCAUUGACCGUGAACUAAUCAGGAGAAAGGAAGAAGACGUCAGAAGAGAAGCCCGCGAGAAGAUUAAGCAGGCAACAAAAAAGGACACUUCCCGGAGCGUUUUUCAACGACUAGGAGGUGAUUCCCAACCCAAAGCUUUGUCAGAGGUAUUUCGAAACCAUGAGGUUUCUGAUGAAGCGGAAGACAUGGAAGCCAGAAUACGAAGGGGUGCAGACCAUCCUCAAUGUGGCCAGAUGGGGAGGGAAAUCAAGAAGAUUGAUAGCAUGAUCAAUCCUAGUAGAAAAGAGAAUCCUGCCCACCUCGGGCGAAAAUGGUAUGUAGUCGGGAAGAACGGACAGCCUACCAAACCAAUGGGAGCCUCUAUGGUCAGGAGGGUUCAAAGGCAGCACAAAGCCUAUAUGAAUUCCUUGAAGACCCCCACAACAUCUGAAGCCUCCAAAAAUCAAAAGCUGGAGAAAACAGCAUCUGGAGGAAGUAGUCAGCUCCGUUGGAGAAGUAAGAAAGAGGUGGAAAAAGCCGACAGCAAGACGGAAGGCGAGGGGAAUCACGUGCCGCAGAGCCAACACCCUGGGAAAUACAGGAUCUUGAGGAGAGCUCAAGAAGAUCUAAUCAUGAUGCCAACCCCUGGGUGGAAGCCAGGUCUUACCCGCACUGAAACUAUUUCAUCUGAAAGGAGACCACAUUCUCUGCCCUUGGUGGAUCCUUUUGGUGAAGUUCCAAAACAAACACUGUAUGCGGGCAUGAAUCAACAACAACAGGAGGGGGCACCAAAACCAUUACUUCCAGCUGAUGCGAUGGCCUGGUUCGAUGAAUUUAUGGACCAGAUUGGGGACAAUAAAGAAGAUCCGCCCGAGCCUAGUAAUUUCCAUAUUAACAUGAGAUAUGUGUUGUUCGCCACAUUUGGUGCCAGACCUGAUCAACCCGCUACUAUGGAGGGUGAUUACUUGACAACUGAGCCAAUGAUGGCACAUGUCAAUGUAGAGGUAGUUGAAGAAGAAAGCUCGGGCAAGGCUGAAUCCUCAGAAGCAUCCAAAGGCGGUCCUCUAAGGAUUUACACAGACGAGAUGGUGUUUAGCCGCCCGAAUAGCUCGUUGGCCAAUCAUCUGAAACCUAUAUACGUUACAGCCCACUUAGAAUGUGUGCCCUUCAAAAGAAUUCUAAUUGAUGGAGGAGCAACUGUUAAUGUGUUACCAGCCAAGCAGAUGAAGAAAAUGGGAAGAGGUACGGAUGAUCUUAUUCCCACAGACCUCACAGUCUCUAGCUUCUCAGGCGUUAUCACUAAGACUCAUGGAAUAUUGCCUCUAGAAGUGGAUCUGGGAUCUAAAAAGAUAAUGCUGGCAUUCUUUGUGGUGGACUGCACCUCCAUUUAUGGGGCCUUACUCGGAAGAUAUUGGAUCCACCAAGGUUUGGCUAUACCCUCCACUAUUCAUCAACAAGUGGCUGUCUAUCAUCAAGCGGGCGUAGAAUGACCAGGCUUUUGGGAGAUGGUAGAGGCCGAAUCACGGCCAUUUCUCCCCACAACCAAUGUUGCAGAAGCAAGUUUCUACAACCCCAAUGUAGGAAUCUUGAAGUGUUCAGGAGCUGACGAGAACAGCCGCCUUACCAAGGUGACGGCCCAAAAGCUUUUAGAACAAGGAAUGCUCCUUACUAGAGAGGAGUGAGAUAGACCUUGUAUCCUCCCAAAUCCCCUACACCAUCAAUGAGUGGACAAAAGAAGAGAGAUCAGGUAAUGGCAGUUAGAUCCCUGAUUAAAAGACUGCUGGUAUAUGGGAAAGGAAGAAGACAAGAAAGGGAGCUCUUGGACAGAGAAGAGCGUGAAUGGCAGGAGGAAACUUCAACCAGCCAGCAUGAAAGCAAGGAGGAAUCUUGCAGUGAAGAAUUGGAUGGGGCCAUUCAAAUGGCCGAGUGCAUAUAUGAUCUAGAUAGGCCAGACGACUUGCCCGAGAGCCCGGAGCUGGUCGAAUUUUUGUGUACAGAACCAGAUAAGCCACCACCAGAAGUCCAGGAUCCUCUGGAAGUUAUUAAUUUAGGAACAGAGGAGGACCCGAGACCAAUACAGAUCAGUGGUUUAUUGGGGGUUGAUGAUCGGGCAAGGAUUGUUUAUCUUUUGCAAGAAUUCAAAGACUGCUUUGCUUGGCAUUAUACCGAGAUGCCAGGGUUAGAUCCAACUUUGGUAGAACAUAGAAUGCCCAUCAAAGAGGGAUAUAAACCUGUCAAGCAAGCACCACGGAGGAUGUCAAAGGAGAUAGAAGAAAAGGUCAAAGAAGAGAUUGAGAGGCUAGUGAAAGCUGGCUUUAUCAGACCAGCCAAAUAUGUGGAGUGGUUGGCCAACAUCGUACCCGUUUUAAAAGCUGUAACAAAAGCGGUACGAUGUUGUGUGGAUUACAGAAACAUUAAUGGCGCUACACCAAAGGAUGAGUAUCCCAUGCCCAUGGCCGACUUAUCCAUAGAUGCAGUGGCAAAACAUAAAGUCCUAUCUUUUAUGGACGGGAAUGCCAGUUACAAUCAGAUAAAGAUGGCUCCAGAAGAUAUACAUAAAACAGCUUUUAGGUUUCCCGGUCAUGUGGGGGCAUAUGAAUAUCUGGUCAUGCCAUUCGGGCUCAAGAACGUUGGUGCAACUUACCAGAGGGCAAUGAAUGCCAUCUUUCAUGAUCUAAUUGGCCAGAGCAUGGAGGUAUACAUUGAUGACAUAGUGGUAAAGUCCAAAACAGAAGAGCAGCAUCUGGAGGAUCUCAGACAGACAUUAGCAAGGACGAGGAUCAACAAAUUGAAGAUGAAUCCAAAGAAGUGUGCGUUUGGAGUAAGAGCAGGCAACUUCUUGGGAUUCCUGGUGCAUCAAAGAGGUGUAGAAAUGGAUAAGAACAAAUCUCGGGCAAUAAUGGAGUCACCUUCACCUACCAACAAGGUGCAACUCCAGAGGUUACUGGGCAAAAUUAACUUUUUGAGGAGAUUCAUUGCUAAUUUAGCAGGCAAGAUCCAGCCGCUGACUCCUUUACUAAGGUUGAAAGAUAAAGAGAAGUUUGAAUGGGGGCCACCGCACCAACAGGCCUUUGACAACAUCAAGGCCUAUUUAACUUCUCCACCAGUGUUGGUGCCACCUCAAAGGGGAAAACCCUUGAAGCUGUAUAUCUCUGCCUCUGAAAAAUCAAUCGGAAGCUUGCUAGCCCAAAAUAAUAAGGGCGGGAAGGAGCAGGCAGUGUACUACCUCAGUAGAAUUCUGACCGAGGUAGAAACAAGGUAUUCCCCGAUAGAGAGAUUAUGCUUGGCUUUAUAUUUCACUACCAGUAAAUUAAGGCAUUACAUGUUACCUUGUCAAGUGCACAUCAUCGCCAAGACAGAUGUGAUAAAGUACAUGUUGUCAAAGCCAAUGCUCACAGGAAGGAUUGGGAAAUGGAUUCUAGCUUUAUCGGAAUUCAGUUUUCAGUACGUACCCCAAAGGGCAGUCAAAGGUCAAGCAAUUGCCGACUUCAUGACCGAGCAUCAAGAAUCUUUAAGUGAGGUGAUCAAUAUCCCUAGAAGCCUAGAGGUUACUAGCAUUUGGAUCCCGCCGAGAAAAGAUAUUUCGGGCAAAGAAGACUGGGUCCAGUAAGAGAUAAGAAGAGUGGCUGGUCUCUGGAUCACUCAUUGGAAGUUGUAUUUCGAUGGAUCCCACACUCAGAAGGCUUCAGGAGCAGGAAUUGUAAUUGUAAACCCUCAGGGAGUUUAUCAUUAUUAUUCAUUUCUCUUGGAUUACCAGGGGAAUACUAACAAUCGGGCAGAGUAUGAGGCCUUAAUUAUUGGUCUGGAAAUCUUGAUGGAUCUGGGGGCAGAAGAGGUAGAGGUCUUUGGAGAUUCAGAGUUGGUAAUAAACCAGUUAAAUAGGGAGUUCAAGUGCAGACAUAUUACCAUGGCGGGGUAUUACUUGGCAGCUACGCAAUUAUUGAAUUUCUGGGAUUCUGAGAUAUUGGUCAAUCAUGUUCCCAGGGAAUCCAAUUUAGCGGCCAACGAGAUGGCACAACUAGCCGCAAGAGUGCCAAUACAGGAGAGGAAAUAUGGGGUAGAUGUUGAGAUCCAAAGAAGAAACCUCCCUUCCAUCUUAGAAAGGGGAUUCAGUCUAGAUAUAAUGGUGGUAGAGGCCGAGAUAGAAGAUUGGAGGUCACCUAUUAUUCACCAUUUGAAGGAUCCUUCCUCGCCUACAAGCAAGAAGGAUAGACAGCAAGCAACCAAGUAUGUCUUAUAGGCGAAGAACUUGCUAAGGAAAACUCUAGAUGGGUUACUGUUGAAAUGCUUGGGCCAAGAAGAAUCCAUGAGGGUAAUGGCCGAAGUACAUGAAGGAGUUUGUGGAGCACAUCAGGCUGGAACGAAGAUGAUAUGGUUGCGUAGGAGGUAUGGUUAUUUCUGGCCCGACAUGGAAAAAGAUUGUAAGUCUUAUGCCCGAGGAUGUGAAAAAUGUCAGAGGCACGGACCUCUCCAGCAUGUGCCCUCAGUACCUUUAAAUCCAGUGGUCAAGCCUUGGCCAUUCAGAGGAUUGGCAAUGGACUUCAUCGGGAAAAUCUAUCCAGCUUCUAGCAGAGGGCAUACCUUCAUAAUUGUGGCAACGGAUUACUUUACCAAAUGGGUGGAAGCAUCAGCAGUAAAAUCCAUAAAUUCAGCCACAGUCAAGAAUUUUAUCGAGACCAAGAUCCUGCACAGAUAUGGGGUGCCCGAAACUAUUGUGACAGAUCGUGGACCAUCUUUUAUUUCAAAAGAAGUUGAGGAGUUUGCAAGUAAGUACAAAAUAAAGAUGAUCCAGUCCAGUCCAUACUACCCGUAAUCAAAUGGCCAGGCAGAAGCCAGCAACAAGAUCCUGGUCAACAUUAUCAAGAGAAUGGUGAUUGAUAGUCCAUAAAGAUGGCAUGAAAAUCUGGGGAACACUUUGUGGGCAUACAGAACUUCUAAGAGAGCAGGAACAGACACAACUCCUUAUGCUUUAACUUUCGGGCAAGAUGCAGUGCUCCCCGUGGAAAUCAAUGUGGGUUCUUUAAGAAUUCAAAAUCAAUUUGGAUUGCAUAGCGAAGAGUAUGUCGAAGCCAUGUGUCAAGGAGUUGAAGACUUGGAUGCCGCCCGAAUUGAAGCUUUGAACCAGAUUCAAGAAGGGAAACGAGUCUUUGCCCGAGCUUACAACAAGAAGGUGAAGAUGAAAUCUUUCAAGGAAGGGGAUUUAGUAUGGAAGACAAUCCUCCCUCUAGGAGCUCAGCUCAGGGGCUUUGGAAAAUGGAGCCCGACAUGGGAAGGUCCUUUCAUUAUUAGUCGUGUUCUAGAUAGAGGGGGAUACUACUUGGCGGACCUUGAAGGAAACAAACAUAAACAUCCCAUUAACGUUAAAUUCUUAAAGAAAUAUUGUCCUACGUUGUGGGAUGUCAGAGAUUGUUAUAUCGAAGAGGAUGCGAAGUAAAGCGAGCUUCGGGAUAUCAUUAUGCAAUGCGUAUUUAUCAAACAUUCAAGAUGGAAAGACAAGAGUUGCUGAGAUAAUGUAUAUUUCAUUUCGACAAAUUGAUGAAAUUUACAAAAGAUUCAAGGCCAACAUAUUACAAUCAAUUCUCUUCCUGGAUGCAAUGGUAUCUUCAGCUGAUUUUCUGAUGUCUUCAUGGAUGGAACCCGAUCAGGUGAUCGGGUUGUGCGACCAACAUGGGCCUGGUAGAGGAUCCUCAGACAAGACCAUCAACAUAUGUAAUGGUCAAGCCCGAUUUAUCACCGCAGCGAGCAGGGAGACAAACCGUCAAGAGGAAACCGCCUGACCAAGGAUGUUGGAGAUAGCGGGGCGUUCGACCAAGGGUGUUGGAGAUAGCAGUUCUUUGAUGAAAGCUUUUUUUCUCACGGAAAUGAAGUUUUAGGAAACCCCAUUCAAAGCUUGAGGAACCCAUUUCUCAAAUUCUGAAAUGCUCGAGGAAGAUGGAAGAAAAAAAUAAAGAGGAUUUGAUGGCUUGAUAGAAGAGUUUCCGAGCCAGAAUUUAUAGAAAACCAGAGGGUAGUUCAGAGGUCGUGAGAAGUUCAAGGGGCACGGGGUUAUCUUCAUCCUGUCGAGGGAACACGAAGUUCCAAAAGAUUGAGAUACACGCAUGCGGGUAUUCAAUCAAUGUUGGCGCUUGGGAUUCCAACCUUAACAUUAAUUGAAGGGGGCACUGUUUGGAUCAAAACUUGAACUUUGGGCUCAAGAAAGGAGUUGGCCUAAAAGGAGGUCCGAAAGAGAAGAUAGCCGAAGCCCAGUCGAAGCCCAGAAAGCAGGGAAAGGCCUUUUCUGACUUGGUGCAGCUCAUGAAGACCACUUGCUUACCUACCCAAAAGCCAAGUGGUGUAGACUGAUCAGCUACACAGCCCAUAAAGUACUUUAUGGUGGCAUUACAUGUAAUAUAGCUAAUGAGUCAUCACCCUCAAACCGCAUUCGGGCAAAGUUGCUGCUACCAAAGGCCAAGUCAAGUUGUCUAUAUAAGAAGAAAGAAAAUUCAGGAUUAAGGACACUCAAAGAAACAAACAAAUGCAAGCACAAACUCUGCUCAAAGCCAGAUUUGCCUUCAAAACAAAGCUGUAGUCAGCCUUCAUCCCUUUCGGGAUAAACCUUCAUCCCUUUGUAAUAGCUCUGCUACCUUGUUAAACCUUGCUGUAGUAUCGAUUCAUCUUUUGUAAUCUCUCUCUCUACCCCUCUAAAGCUUUUAGACCUUUGACAAAACUACAAAGAUAGAAACCUGCAAGACGAGCAACCUUACCCGACAAGGUUUAACCUUGCCCGACCUUCUUUGCUUUAGUCUUGUCUUUUCAAUAUGUUGUAUACUUCAAGUUAUAUGCAAGUUAUUUCUAGCAACAUGACUAUUAAAAAGCUUUCUCAGCACUUGAAUUCGAUUUGAAUAUAUUGUCAGUGUUCAAACCAGAUCCAAGUCCUAAGCCCUCGGGCAUGUAAAUCUGAUCAGUUAAAAGUCUUUGGCCUCAAGGCAUAAAAAAGAACUUUAUGUGAACUUAACCCAUCCACGACAGUCCUUGAUAAACGAGAAGUCCGAAGUUACUUGGGGCGCAAGUAAUCAACCUACCUUCUAGUUUUCUUUCUAUUAUGUCAUGAUUAUCAUAGAACGCUUGAGCAUGGAAUGAAUUCUAAUGGAAAGCCUCAAGGCCUACACCUAAGGCCCCACAAAGGCAUCUAUUUGGAUUCAUUCCGUUCGGCGAUCUAAAGAGUCUAAGUAUAAGAAUGAACUCUGAUGGGAAGCCUCAAGGCCUACACCUAAGGCCCCACAAAGGCACCUAUUUGGGUUCAUUCUACUUCUUGGAUUCGGGUAAUCAGAAGUAUAAUAGUUAGAAAACUCCUACAAACACGAGAACAAAUAUGAUGCGUUCAAGCACUGGUUUAGUUAUUUAUAGGAAGCCUCAAGGCCUACACCUAAGGCCUCACAAAGGCACCUGUUAUAACUAACACGGUUUCUUGGAUACAUACAUAUAUACAACUAAAGCACGACAACCAUUUUACAUCUGCCAUGCUAAAGAUGGUAGUGGCACGCCUGAGCACCUAAAUGUUAACCUUGAUUGUGAGCCUCAAGGCCUACACCUAAGGCCCCACAAAGGCACCUCUCAAAGUUAACGUUGUCCUUCUCUUUCAGCCUUACCCGAAGAGUCUUGCCUAAAGAGUCUUACCCGACGAGACUUGCUCGACAACGCCCGACAGCGAAGCAAAAGCCCGACAGCAGCCCUCAACCGGCGCCAACCUCUAGGGGAGAUGUGUGCUCGUCGACCAUGAAACAUCCCCGACGGAGAUUCCUGACACGAACAGGGUGUGUUUCUGUCUCUCUCCCAUCCCUCUCAAUCUCUCAAUCACCGACACCAACCCUUGAUUUGAGGAGAAAAAAUCAACCCUAACCCCUUUUUUGGCAGCCUCACUCCUCCCUGCCAUCCCACGCCCCUCUCCCUCUCUGCCUUUGCAGUCCAUGCCUUUCGAAAAUGGCAGAUAUGUAAAUAAUGCAAAAUCAAGGGCCCAUCUCACAACAAAACUGGCAAAACUGUAAAUAUCUUGAAAGCUGUUCAGAGACAAUAUUACCCUCCUAAUUUUAUAUAAUUACCCUCCAACUCAGCCACAGAUAUGAUGGCAGUGGCGUAAAUAAAGCAAAAUCAAAGGGCAAAACUUUGACUGUAGCUAAGCUAUAGUCAAAUCCUUCCUCAAUUUUAGAAUAGAUAAUAUGGGCCUAGCCCAUCGGAAUUAGGGUUUCUAGGUUUUGCUUUCUAUAAAUAUAGCUUAUAGAUUAGCAUGAAGAACAAGUUAUUCACUAUGUAAUCUCUUAGGGUUUUGUAGCCGUUUCGGCAUUCUCUUUUGUUUAACAAUAUUCCUAUUAUUUUGUUAGUCUCGUUCGUUGCGCACUCUGAUAUUCAACUUGGUAUCAGAGCAUGUUCGAUCUUUGGGGUUAAUCUACUCUUGUCAUGUUUGUCUAUUUCGUUGUUAUUCAUAUGAAAAAAAGAAAAAAAAAUUGAAUUAGAUGAUCGUGAGGAAAACAUGAAGUUCGUAUACUGCAGUGCAUUGAAACCAGAAACCCGCCUUCAACCUGCUACUUGUCUGCUGAUGAAGCCCUGAUCCAAUAACCACAAACUUGGAUCGAGUUCAUCUUCGCUGCACCUACCCCAUCUGAAUCUGCCAUGAACCUGCAUCACAACGUCUUGAAGUCGUCAUGUUGCGAACUGCAGCCCAGAUCCAUCCCGCCACCAAACACCAGUCUGUCUGCUUGCCUCACCCUGCAACCAGCCCAGAAAAUUAGCCGCCGUAGCCCCAUAAUGAUGAAACCCGCACCAGUUUGAUGUUCAGCAUCGCACUUGCCAUCUCCAUUGCAUGUAACCUGAUCAGUUCCCUGCACCACGACCUGUUUGCCAUUGUUGCUUUUGUUGUGUUGAUUUUUUGUGAGAAAGAAAAAAGAAAAAGGAAAUACAAUGAAAAGGAAAAAAAAAUUUGUUUUGAGGUUUUGGCCCACACGGGCAGAGAGGAAAAAUGGGUUGUAGGCUGUUUGCCACCCUUUUUUUGGUUUGAUGUCUUUGAGGCCCACACGAGUUGUUGGCUUGUUUGAAAUUGUUUUGUAACCGUCAUUCGAGUGCUUGGAAUUGUGAUCACUCGAGUGAUAGUAUUUGUGUUUGUUUGUUUGUUGCUUCAAUUGAGAUAUGGAAAUCUUGUCCAUUUAAUGACGGGUUCUUUCCAUACUCUCAACACUAGCUAGUUUGCCAACCAGAAUCAAGAAUCAAGUCAGGUCAAGAAUCAAGAACCAGUUUGCCAGUCAAGUCAAGUCAAGUUUGCAUGUCUGCCAGUCCAUAUCUGCUUGUUUGCAAACCCAUGUCGUAUACCGCCAUGAGUUUGACGGGGAGUGUUGGAAAAAUUAGUAUAUUAUAAUUAUUUGAGUUUGCCUGUUAGUUAGUAUAUGAGUCUAGCCCAUCCGAAUUAGGGUUUCUAGGUUUCGCUCUCUAUAAAUAUAGCUUAUAGAUUAGCAUGAAGAACAAGUUAUUCACAAUGUAAUUUCUUAUGGUUUUGUAGCCAUUUCGGCAUUCUCUUUUGUUUAAUAAUAUUCUUAUUAUUUCGUUGCGCACUCUAAUAUUCAAGUAGUUUAGUAUUCAAGCUAGCAUUCCAUAAUCUAGCUCAAUUUCAUGCUAGUUUAAAUACUAAACUGAACAUAUUCAAACGAGGUCAUCGACUGCAAAAGGUAGUGGAAAAGAUAAUUCAAACCUUAUGCUAAAAUGUUACCUGAACAAGUAGAUGAUGAAUAAUCAAGAGACAAAGAGAGGCGCGUAAGAGGAUCUUCGUCUAUUGGGUCGGAUAUCUGAUCUCCUUUAUCACUGACUGCCGGACCUUGUGGCUUCCAAUGAUGAAUAGAUAAAGAAAGACACGUAAGAAGUUCUUCGUCCAUGGGGUCGGAUAUUUGAUCUCCUCUGUCACUGACUGCUGGACCCUAUGUCUUCCAACGAUCAAGAGACCGAGAAAGACGCGUAAGAAGAUCUUUGUCCAUUGGGUUAGAUAUCUGAUCUCCUCUAUCCCUGACUGUCGGACCCUGUGCCUGGAAGAGUAUUGGGAGAUUCUCAGGACGAGUUUGAGGCUGAAUAUGACGGCCUGCAGGAAAAAUACCAGGAGGCAAGGAAAAACGUGAAUGCGCAAGGCUGUGAGGAUCAUGAUCAUGCACUGUUAUAGUACUACCCAUGUAAUUACUGAGAUCAUAAUCAUUAGAUGGCUCAUAAUUAUCAGCUCACUCCAAAUCAUGCGUAUUUUCCUUUAUAGGUCUGUUCCGCACUAGAUUAGCCAUUGUUCUCAUUGAUGGCAAAAUGUUUGCAAGUGGAGAAAAUUUUGGAGAUUUUCUAUUGAAAAAAUCCAUCAUUUCUUAGUCUUGCAGAGGAUAUUUUUUAUCUUAACAUGAACAGCCAUACAAUCUAUUCAACUCUCAUGGUCUCGCUAUCUCUAUAUGGUAAUGGCCAAGAGACUCAGGUGACCGGCUGAAUGUUACCUGAACAAGUAGAUGAUGAAUAAUCAAGAGACAAAGAGAGGCGCAUAACAGAAUCUUCCUCCAUUAGGUCGUGGUCUCCUCUGUCAUUGAUUGCUGAACCCUACGGCUGGAAGAAUACUAAGAGAUUCUCAGAACGAGUUUGAGGCUGAAUAUGAUGGCUUGCAGGAAAAGUAUUAAAAGACAGAAAAGUGCGAAUGCGCAAGGCUGAGAGGACCAUGAUCAUGCACUGCUAUAGUACUACCCAUGUAAUUACUGAGAUCAUAAUCAUUAGAUGGCUCAUAAUUAUCAGAUGACUCCUCAUAGAACCGAGCUGGAUGUUGGUAAAAAAUAUAACUAGCUUGGUCCAAAUCAUGCGUAUUUUCCUUCAUAGGUUUGUUCCACACUAGAUUAACCAUUGUUCUCAUUGAUGGCCUAUAAUAAUCAGAUUUUCUUGAAAGUUGGAGUACUAUAACUUCAACUUUAUCCCCACUUUGCAAUUUGAGCUUAUCGUUCGAUAGUUGUCCUUGCCAAAGUUUAGGCGUAUCCCAAUAUCCGCUGCCUAAGUAAGCCUGCAACUUUGUACGCUUGGUAUUAUUUAGAACAGUAAUGCCAAAUUUACUUGCAAAUGCAUAUUUGUGAAAGAAGCAUAGAGUCAACCCUUCAAAAGUACGACCAUCAUUCGGGGGAAUAUCAAAACUAACUGUAUUGCCAUGGUUAACAAACUCAAACCAAUCAGGAACAAAAUUCCCAUAGAGUAAAACGCCACCAAAUCCGCACGAAGUCCAUCCCUACAUAUACAAUGCAAGUGUCAUAUAUAUAUAUAUACACACACAUGUAAACGUGCGUUUGCGUUUGCAUGUGCACGAUAGGAAGGCAAUGAGAGAGAGUGUGUGUGAGGUACCUGUAGGAUGUUCUUCCCAAAAUCAGCUGUGAGAUUGGUGCAGUUACUCAUAUCAAUCAAUGUCAUGAAGUUUAAUGACUUAUCCAAGCCUGGAACCUCUGUGAGUUUGGGCGAAUCACUUACCUUCAACUCUGUUAUAUUUGACAUUUCCGAAAAAUUGGGCAUUGUUUCCAAUGCAGGGCAAUUAGCGGCAUACAGAAAUUUCAAAUUUGUUGGUAAAGUAGGGAUUGUACGAAGGUAAAGGCAGCCAUUUAACCCCAAUGUUUCAAGCUUUGUAAGACCACUUAGGCUGGGUAGGGUAUGAAAAUAAUUCCAUCCAAGAUCCAAAAGAGUGAGAUUCUUCAAUCUAACUGUAGAAGAUGGUAUUUGUCUUAUGGCUGUGAAAUCUGCUUCAAGUAUUCUCAAUGAUUUCAUCUCCCCUAAAUCCUCAUGCACUUCACUGAAUUCGAAACAGCCAGUAAGAAGAAGAGUCUCAACAGAUUUCAACUUAUAGAAAUCCCUUGGAAGAGAACUAAGCUUUUCACAUUCUUUAAGGUUCACCAAAGAAAGUUUUUGAAGUUGACCAAUGGAGGGGUGAAUCUCGGACAAACUCCCACAAUUUCCAGUAUCAACUCUUCAAGAUUUGGGACUUGUGAAAAGUCCGGUGAUUUAAUUAGAGAGUAUGAACGACUGAGAUUCAUGAUUUUCAACCUCUCUAGCAACUGUUACAGAAAACCAAAGGAAAAUUGAAAUUAAUAUCCAAAAGGAAGAUGUCAUAAAAAAAAAAGGAAAUCCAAAAACAAAUAGAAACAGAACAUCAUCAUGUGUAAUUGAUGUACCUUAUAACCCUCCCAAACUUGUACCAGUUUGCUACACUGCAUUUCUAAAACAACUAGUCUUUGUUGAUCAAAAAAGUCAUCUGGUAUGGACUUUAAAGGGCAUCCUACCCAACACAACCAUAUUAACUCUUUGGGAAGGUGUUUGUAUUCUCCAUUGAGCUGAACGUCUUUGAGAUGAAGGAAUCUCAGUUUCUUCAUAUUGGCAAAUGCUUCUGUACUGAAGCUAGGCAGGCUAGAGCUUCGAGGCCAAGGAUCAGGGAAAUUUAGAGCAAGUCCUUCAACUUCUUCAGUUCCCUGUUAACAAAAGGUUAUAUUCAUGUGUAGGAAAUGGAUUAUUUGCAUCUAUUUACAUGUGUUAUUUUUACUAAUUCAUAAAACACUCAUUGUCAAUUAAAAUCUUAUGACAUCUUCCUAUGAAAUUAAAACAGAACAUGAAUAAGAAAUAUGAGAUUAUUGUCAAUUAAUUUCAUAUUAAUGUCAUAAAAAAUUACAUUUCUACCUCAUAUUUCUUAUUCAUGAAUAAGAAAUAUGGCGUAGAAAUGUAAUUUUACACAACCAAAUUUUACUGUUUUUUUUAAGCCUCACCUACAUGUAAUCAUAACAUAUCUCUAAUUAAAAAAUUAAAAAUAAAAAAAACUUCUCACUCCGACAUUCUAUCACUCUCUUCCUCUCUCCUUCUAUUUGAAAAACAAAAAUUAAAAAAAAUUCUCACACACUUUGUGUGUGCCCAUAUGCUAGUUAUUCAUUAGGCAAAAUCACCUACGGUGAUUAUAUUUACACAUAAAUGUUGGUUAGUGUAUAAUAGACAUGCGCGGGUUAUAUAUAUGUUUUCAAGUAGGAUGCAUUAUGCAAAAUUUUAUUGGGAAUGUACUUACAGAUUUAUUUCUCAAGACUUCGGCGGCCUCUUGACAGUUCCACAACCUACUCCAUUUUCCAGGAUGACCAAGAGAUUUUUCAGAAAUGAUUACUCUAGCCAUUUCUCGAAGCAAAUCAUGCAUAUUCAACUUGUUGCCUUCAACAGUUACAAGACAUCUUUCACGGAGGAUAGUGAUUCCUAUUGAUGCAAAAAAUCCACAUCCAUCUAAUACUUUUGUGACAUAGUCCUUGUCCUUUCCAAUAAAGAAACAAGAUAUGUCAAGAAAUAUAGCCUUCUCUAAAGAAUCUAGCCCUUCAAAGCUUGUUCUGAGUUGAUUUACAAUGUUUCCAUUUGGACAUCUUCCCAAUUUCUCCAAUUGACUUUCCCACUCUACCAACGAUCUUCUAAUCAAAAGAGAUCCUAAAACUUCAAGAGCUAGUGGUAAACCUCCACAGUAAGAAACCACCUUUUUUGAAACUUCAAGAUAUCCUUGAUUAGGACAACUAUUUUUAAAGGCAUGCCAACUAAAUAGCUCAAGAGCUUCUUCUUCAUUCAUUUUCGUAGCUUGACAUGCUCUGUCCACAUUUAGUAGUAGACGUUCAUCUCUUGUCGUUAUGAUAAUUCUACUUCCAGGACCAAACCAAUCAUGACUUCCAACUAUUGCAUCCAGCUGUUCCACUUUAUCUAUGUUGUCCACGAUAACAAGUAUCUUUCUAUGUCGAAAUUGUUGUUUUAUCAAACCGAUACCUUCGUCAACACAGCUUAUUUUAUGCUUCUUUUUCAAGAUGUCCGAAAUAAGUUUUUUGCAAAUCAACCAGAUCAUGUUUACUUGUAGCAUCGUGAACGUCGGCAAGGAAACUUUUGAAUUCAAACUGAGGAUGAAUUUGGUUAUAAAUGGCUUUGGCAGCUGUUGUUUUACCUAAUCCACCCAUCCCCCAAAUUCCAAACAUGAGAACAACAUUUGAUCCACCACUUGAAAGAUAACUAAUAAUAUCUUGAACGCGUGAAUUGAUUCCAACUAUGUGCUUGGCCACAUGUAAUUCGUUAGCGCUGGUGAGCCUUUCACAAAUAUUCUCGUCAAUAAUUUUUUUAAUGAACUCUGCUUCGUCCCUGAAAAUUGAAUUCGUAAGCAUUAAUGGGGCUCAAUGAAGGCUCAGUAGGAGAUAUCAGUACAUAAACAAUUUUCUUUCCUUCUUCCCUUCAUAUAAUAUAUACAUAUAUAUAUAUUAUAUAUAUAUAAAAGUUAGGCGUAUGAGUUAAACUCCAAUUACGGUUUAGGUUACUUAUGAGAGAUUAAGGUGUAUUCAUUAAGCAUGUGAAUGAAUGUUUAGAUUAUGUAAAAUGUUAAUUAAGCAUGUCAAUUAAUUAAAAGAUUAAGUCAUUCACUAAAAUUUGCAGCUUCUGUGAAGGAUCAACGUGAGAGAUUAAGGUGUAUUAAUUAAGCAUGUUAAUUAGAGUAAUACAACUUAAAUCUUGAAAAGCAGCUGAAUGAUUACCCAUUGUUAGCGAUUUUAAGAUGGUGGCCAGACAAAUUUGCAGCUUUUGUGAGAGCCUCUCUCCACGGCUUUAGCCUUUCUUGUUUAGCUUCACGUUUCUUGUCAUCUUUUUCUUCACGGAUGUCAUUUUCGUGCUUCUGAAAUGCUUCGGCUAAAUCUCCGUCCUGCUUCCUGACAUGCGAAGGAUCAACGUGAUAGAAUAUUGGUAAAACAUGUCGCCCCAGUUUGUCUCUACACUCCAUGAUCUUCACCAGCUCGUCAAGACACCAACUCGAAUCCGCAUACAUCUUUGAGAAGAUAAUGACAGAGAUCCUCGACUCUUCGAUUGCACGAAACAGUUUCUCUUUUAUUUCUUCCCCUCUUGGUAGAUCGUCCUCAUCAAUAAAGACCUGGUACCCUCUGGCUUUUAAUGCCACGUGGAGGUGGCUCGUGAAGCCAUUGCGCGUGUCUUCACCCCUGAAGCUCAAGAAUACGCCGUACUUCCAGAGUUUGGACUUGGAGGAGGACGAAGAGGAGGCUUCGUGGGCUGUCAUGGCGGUAUCCACCGUUAUGGCUUAGCAGUGGUUCAGAUCACAGACUGAAAAAAUGGCUACAGCUGCGUUUGCGUUGCCGAAGGAUGAUAACAAAAGUCAAGAUCUUGCAGGGGAAGCCAACAAAAUAAACGGUUAAAAUUUAACUAAAAUAGUGUGUUUUGAUUCUUAUACUUUUAAGCCAAUAAGCCAAGAGGAAGAGGAGUGCAGAUAAGCCAAAUUACACGCGUGCAAAUUACAGGGGAAGCCGACAAAGGUGGAGGUUGAAAGUUUGAUUAAUGUCGUUCAUUGAAUAAUCAUGUGAUGGUGUUGGUUAAUGGAUAGUGACCCGCCUGGAUAUUUUUGUUGCUGGUUAGAAUUUUGUAUUUUGAGGAAUCUUCAUGAACAUAUUGGAAAUGUUGUCGAUUUUGAUAGAAUGUAGAUUUAAAUUGGAAUUUCAACAAAAGUAUAACUUGAAAUAGGUCGGCAAAUUGUCGUAUGAUUCGUUAAUCUAAUACGAAAUGUUAUGUAAAUAAUAGGUUUUGGAUUAACUUAUUAACAGUUCGGAUCUUUAACGGAUGAUCCGUUAAGAAUUAGUUAAGAUAUCGUUUUGCAUAUCUAAACAUUAGGGAUUGCAAUUUCGUGCAUAACCCAUUAUCCAACAUGAAACAUGAUUAGUUAAUGAAUCAAGGUGUUAUCAAUCACCUGUUGAGAACUUUUUAAGAUAACGGGUAUAACACGAACACGAUAAAUACGGCCAUUUUUCCAUGCCUAACUUAAAAGGUAUUAAAUAUUUACAUGAAAAAUAAGUUUUACUGAAUAAAUGUAGUUUUACCGAAUCAAGAUUUUGUGAGUUUCAGUCGAGAAGGGGUUUGGCGGAUUCACGGCGUCAGGGGUCGCAUGUCGGAGUGGGGAAAAGGUGGUGAUUAGCCAAGGAGGGGAUCGUUGGUGUCGUAACCGUCGCUCAAGGGGGAGAAAUUGCUCCGAGUGGUACACGACGUGUUAUUAUAUAAGUGGUGAUAAAUUUUAUCUCUUUUUAUUUUUCAUACAUUCUCUUACUUUGUGGUCGUCGAAUUAAAUGAAUUUAUAACAAUAAAAAGACAUAAGAGAGAUGAUACAAAUAAGAGAGAAGACAAAAAGGGAAAUUUUCAUAUAAAUUACCUUUCUCCUAUUAAUAUUUCAAAACAAAAAGUUUAGAGAAAAUAAAUCCAUGUAGUGGGGGUGGGUGGUUAAAUUGAUUAUUUUCCAAAAAUAUAUUUCAAUAACAAACAAUAAUAUCCAAAAUAAGUAAAAUUUAAAAUACAAUAAAACUAACCAGCGACGGAGCCACCUUGUUAUUAGGGUGGUCUUUUGACCCUUGUGACCUUUUAAUGAUUCUUAUUAAAAUAAUAGGCUUAAAUGUCAACAUGGUUCUGUGUUUUAUUAUAUCAGCCAAUUUAGUUCUUGUGUUUUCAAUUUGUCCAAAUUUGUCCCUAUGUUUAUAUCUGUUAGCCAAUUCAAGUCAAUCAGUUAAAAGACAGUUAAAUGACAUGUGCUUAGCACAUGAGAGGACAAAAACGUAAUUUUAUUGUACACCAACUAAACUUGGCCAUUUCGGUUUCUACAACAGUAAGUUGUUGUUUACAUUGGCUUUUGAGCUGGUUUUUUUUUGUCUUUUCCACGAAAGCUUCCUUCUUAAUUUCUUCUUGUAGUUCAAGGGAAUGCUCGUUCAUAUGUAAUCUAUCUUCAAUAUUUGACGGAUGCAGGUUGUAUGCCAUAUUUGAGCCUCCUCUACGCGAAGUUAACGGAAGAAGAAGAGAGGAAAAAAGCUCGAGAGAUUGUUAAUAUUCUGGAUGAGAGCGUUACUAGCUCGACCUUCCGCGUAACUCGCUUUGCAUUGUAUGAAAUCGACUACGAUGGCAAAUCUCUGAAAUCUUGGACGAAGAUUGAUGACAUCGGCCAUUAGACACAAGUUAAUUCAUAUAAUUGCAAGCAAGUUAGCAACUCUGAGGUCGAACAAAGUGGCAUACAUACAUGUUGCCCAAAUUUGAUACAUCAUGGAUGAGAUGUAAGUGGAAAUCUUUGAUGAAUGUAACCUAACGUAGCCUGCUAACGAAGAGUUUUUUUCAGUGUACUUUGAACAUUGUCACAGUGAUAAAAUAGUUCUAAUCAAUUGUAACACAUGUAUUUAAUUACAUCACGUGACAUGUUUUCGAGGUAUACACAAAGAGAAGAAGAUAUAAAUUAGGUUAUUCACACUUGGAAACAAGAUCGAUCGAUCCCCCUUAUGAAUUUCAAUGUGAUCGAUCUCCUAAUCAAUUGCCGGUUCUCAUAUCUAAUGAAUUGAAUAAAAUUUAUAGACAAAAUUUAACAAGAGUGUAUAAAACACCCAGAGGUUAAAGUCAUGCUAGUUGCUGCAGCAUCAUCACCACCACCGCUCCCACUCCAACCACCACCAUCAUCACUAUCAGCACCACUAGACCUUAAUUCUUCACGAGGAUACCGAAUCACCGGAGACUUUACUCCAUGAAAUUAUAAUUUUCAUAUGCACAUCAUGUUUCAUGAAUAAGCGGUUAAAAUUUAACUAUUAAAAUCACCCACUACUCAUCAGGGUUUUUUACCAUUGGUUUGGUUGUGUUGUUUUUGGUUUUUCUUUUGUGACACAGAAAGAAAUUGACAGUCAUCAUUUGCUUCACCAAACACUUGCAUAUGCAUUAUAAUUUCAUGCUCUCCAACUGCAAGCGUGUUUGUCUCUUUUUUUUCCCAUGCAAUCUAGAGAGGUUCUUGCUUUUUGUUGCAAAUGACACAUUAAUCAACGAAAUCAAAAGCAUCUUAUGCCAUUUCCCUUUCAUAAAAUCUAGCUCGGAAAGUAUAUAGAGCAGUACAAACCAGAGAACGUGGCCCGAAUGCCCAUUUUUUAAAAAGUAGUCAAAACCCGAAAGCAAUCAAGUCUGAUCAAUGCCAAAAUAGAAAUGACAAUCAGCUAGCAUAAGCUAUCCAACAACAGGCAUAUCCAAACAGAUACUAUUCAUGUUUCUCUAGAUGAUCAGUGCCAAAAUCCUCUUUCUCAAAAGCACUUCUAUGGUAAACGAAAGUCAUAGAGAUCAUACAAAAAAUCCAAAACACUAAAACACUAAAAUGGGCAAUGAGGAUUCAACACCAACAUCCAAUAACCAAAACUGGCACCAAAACACUAAACCCUAGAAUUGUAAACCAGCUUAAUUCAAAAGCAGCUUAAUCUGCAACAAUUUUUUUUUUUUUUUUUUUUUGAGAAGAGCUUAAUCUGCAACAAUUGAACAAAGAAACAGAAUUUACCGUGAUAUAAUGGAUCCCAGAACUGAUCUUAAUGAAACGGAAGCAGCCUUUGAAAAACAGUCUUCUGAUGCUGACGACUAAAUCUAUCUCCACUCUCAUACUUCCCCGACCAUCAUGUCUGGAGCUGCAAUGAAUCAAGGCAAGGUUGUACACAAAAACCCAAAAAUUCGCACACCAAUUUUCCUGAAACAAAAAAACGCAAUCAGAUUAAACAACCACACUGAAAACACCAAAAAACUAAAAUAAUAAGGCAACAGUCAAUGCAAAACGCAAAGACUUUAAUUUUACAGCGAUCGAUCUGCAAAUUUUCUUCCCAUUCAAAGAAAAGACAAAAAAAAAAAAAAAAAGCAGAGAAACCAACUGAAACAGUUCAAUCAGCCAGAAAAAUGGACGCUGAGAAAGAAGCAGUGCAAGCUGAACACGUAAAAAGAUCCAAUCUUUAACCAAACAAUCUAAACCCUAAACCCUAACAAAAUUACAAAGGAGAAGAGAGAAAUAAAAUUAAAAAAUUAAAUAUGUAUGCACCACACAUAGAUUGGAUAAACAUUUGACGAUGAAAUAUAGUACAACUGCAAUUAGGGUUUCAUCAAAUUUUAAGUAAUUAAUCCUUGAAAUUAACCUGAUGAUCUAAAUUAAACACAAGUUGAAAGGAAAUUAGUGAAAGGGAACAAACCUUGAUCCAUUUGCCUUGCACCAGAGACAUGGCUGGAGAACUAUCAGUCACUGUGGAAAGUCAGUUUUGGUGGGUUUCUCAAAUGCUUGCAGAUCUGUUCGUACACACAUCUUUAUAUAAAGCAGAGGAAGAAGAAGCAGCAACUAUAAAGCAGAGGAAGCAGCAGCAGCAGAACCAGAAGAAAUAGAGGCAGGGGAAGCCGAUAGAAACGGAGCAAAGGAAAUGAAGCAGAAGAAAAGGAGGGCAAUCCAAUGAUCCCAGCAGAGAUCAACCCCAAAGAUGUUGGACAAAAUUAUUAAAAAAUAAAUUUACUAAAUUACCCUUGAAUUAUUUUAUGCAUUCUUUCUUGCUGUUUUGAAUUUUUUUUUGGAUGAGGGGCAUUCUGGUCCUAUUCAUUUUGUUGAAGCUGUUACCCCAGAUGUUGGUCAAAAAACAUAACGAACUACGUCCAAAUCAUGCGUAUUUUCCUUCAUAGGUUUGUUCCACACUAGAUUAACCAUUGUUGUCAUUAAUGGCCUAGAGCUUGUUGAAAGAUGAACUUCAACUUUAUCCCCACUUUGCAAUUGGAGCUUAUCGUUCGAUAGUUGUCCUUGCCAAAACAUAUCCUCAUCCCAAAAUCCGUUGCCUAAGUAAGCCUGCAACUUAGUAUUCUUGGUAUUAUUUAUAACAGUAAUGCCAAAUUCAAAAAAAUCUCCAAGUGAAUAUUGGUGCAAGAAGCAUAGAGUCAGCCCUUCAAAAGUACAACCAUCAUUCGGGGGAAUAUCAAAACUGACUGUAUCGUGAUCAUGGUUAACAAACUUAAACCAAUCAGGAACAAAAUUCCCAUAGAGUGAAAUGCCACCAAAUCCGCACGAAGUCCAUCCCUACAUAUACAUUGCAAGUGUUAUAUACAUAUAUACAUGUAAACGUGUGUUUGUGUGUGCAUGUGCAUGAUAGGAAGGCAAUGAGAGAGAGAGAGUGAGAUACCUGUAGGAUGUUCUUCCUAAAAUCAGCUGUGAGAUUGGUGCAAUUACUCAUAUUAAUCAAUGUCAUGAAGUUUAAUGACUUAUCCAAGCCUGGAACCUCUGUGAGUUUGGGCGAAUCACUUACCACCAACUCUGUCAUAUUUGACAUUUCCGAAAAAUUGGGCAUUGUUUCCAAUGCAGGGCAAUUAGCGGCGUACAGAAAUUUCAAAUUUGUUGGUAAAUCAGGGAUUGCACGAAGGUUAGGGCAGCCAUUUAAGCUCAAUGUUUCAAGCUUUGUAAGACCGCUGAGGCUAGGUAGGGUAUGAAAAUCAUUCUCUUCAAGAUCCAAAACUUGUAAAGAAAUUAGACUCCCAAGAUCCUGAGGGAUUGCAUCACGUGCUAAUUUCAAACCAUAUAGGUUUAAAAGAGUGAGAUUCUUCAAUCUAACUGUGGAAGAUGGUAUUUGUCUUAUGGCUGUAUUCAUUGCUUCAAGUAUUCUCAAUGAUAUCAUCUCCCCUAAAUCCUCAUGCAUUUCUCUGAAUUUGGAACAGCCAGUAAGAACAAGAGUCUCAACAGAUUUCAACUUAUAGAAAUCCCUUGGAAGAGAUCUAAGCAUUAUGCAAUCUUUAAGGUUCACCAAAGAAAGUUUUUGAAGUUGACCAAUGGAGGGGUGAAUCUCGGACAAACUCUGACAACCUUCCAGUAUCAACUCUUCAAGAUCUGGGACUUGUGAAAAGUCCGGUGAUUUAAUUAGAAAGUGGGAAUGAGUGAGAUUCAGGAUUUUCAACUUCUCUAGCAACUGUUAUAGAAAACCAAAGGAAAAUUGAAAUUAAUAUCCAAAAGGAAGAUGUCAUAAAAAAAAGAAGGAAAUCCAAAAGCAAAUAGAAAUAGAACAUCAUCAUGUGUAAUUGAUCGUACCUUAUAACCCUCCCAAACUUGUACCAGCCCGCUCCACUGCAUAUCUAAAACAACUAGUCUUGGUUGAUCAAAAAAGUCAUCUGGUAUGGAAUUUAAAGAGAAUCCUUCCCAACACAACCAUAUUAACUCUUUGGGAAGAUGUUUGUAUUCUCCAUUGAGCUGAACGUAUUUGAGAUGAAGGAAUCUCAGUUUCUUCAUAUUGGCAAAUGCUUCUGUACUGAAACUAGGCAGGUUCGAAUCAUAAGGCAAAUAUAGAGCAAGUCCUUCAACUUCUUCAGUUCCCUGUUAACAAAAGGUUAUAUUCAUGUGUAAGAAACGGAUUAUUUGCAUAUAUUUACAUGUAUUAUUAUUCAUUAGGCAAAAUCACCUACGGUGAAUUAUAUUUACACAUAAAUGUUGUUUAGUGUACAAUAGACAUACGUGGGUUAUAUAUGUUUUCGAGCAGGAUGCAUUAUGCAAAAUUUUAUUUGGAAUGUACUUACAGAUUUAUUUCUCAAGACUUCGGCGGCCUGUUGAUUGUUCCACAACCUACUCCAUUUUCCAGGGUGACCAAGAGAUUUUUCAGAAAUGAUUACUUUGGCCAUUUCUCGAAGCAAAUCAUGCACAUUCAACUCAUUCCGCAUAGUCCCCUUAUUCCACUUAUUCUCCUCAAUAGUUACAAGGCAUCGUUCACGGAGGACAUUGAUUCCUAUUGUUCCAAAAAAUCCGCAUCGAUCUAACAUUUUUGCAACAUAGUCCUUGUCCUCUCCAAUAAAGAAACAAGAUAUGUCAAGAAAUAUAGCCUUCUGGUAAUAAUCUAGCCCUUCAUAACUUGUUCUGAGUUGAUUUCCAAUGUUUCCAUCUAGAUGUGUUCCUAAUUUCUCCAAUUGAUUUUUCCACUCUGCCAACGAUCUUUUAGUCAAAAAAGAUCCUAAAACUUUAAGCGCUAGUGGUAAACCUUUACAAUAAGAAACAACCUUUUUUGAAACUUCAAGAUAUGUUUGAUCAGGACAACUAUUUUUAAAGGCAUGCCAACUAAAUAGCUCAAGAGCUUCUUCUUCAUUCAUUUCCUUGGCCUGAAAUGUUUUGUUCACAUUUUGUAGUAGAUGUUCAUCUCGUGUCGUUAUGACAAUUCUACUUCCAGGACCAAACCAAUCAUAACCUCCAACUAUUGCAUCCAGUUGUUCCACUUUAUCUAUGUUGUCCACGAUGACAAGUAUCUUUCUAUGUCGAAAUUCUUGUUUUAUCAGAGCGAUACCUUUGUCAACACAUCUUAUUUUAUGCUCCUUUUUCAAGAUGUCAGAAAUAAGUAUUUUGCAAAUCAACCAGAUCAUGUUUACUUGUAGCAUCGCGAACGUCGGCAAGGAAACUUUUGAAUUCAAAUUGAGGAAGAAUUUGGUUAUAAAUGGCUUUGGCAGCUGUUGUUUUACCCAAUCCACCCAUCCCCCAAAUUCCAACCAUGAGAACAUCAUUUGAUCCACCACUUGAAAGAUAACUGAUAAUAUCUUGAACGCGAGAAAUGAUUCCAACUCUGUGCUUGGCCACAUGUAAUUCGUUAGUGCUGGUGAGCCAUUCACAAAUAUUCUCAUCAAUAAUUUUUUUAAUGAACUCUGCUUCGCUCUUGAAAAUUGAAUUCGUAAGCAUUAGUGGGACUCAAUGAAGGCUCGGUAGGAGAUAUCAGUACAUAAACAAUUUUCUUUCCUUCUUCCCUUCAGUUAAUAUAUAUAUUAACUACCUACUAGCUCGUAUGUGAUUUUAUGACGAACUUGAAUAAAAGGAUUAAUUGAUAAAUAAAAGUUAGGCGUAUGAAUUAAACUCCAAUUACGGUUUAGGUUACUUAUGAGAGAUUAAGGUGUAUUCAUUAAGCAUGUGAAUGAAUGUUUAGAUUAUGUAAAAUGCUAAUUAAGCAUGUCAAUUAAUUGAGAGAUUAAGUCAUUCACUAAAAUUUGUAGCUUCUGUAAAGCAUCAACGUGAGAGAUUAAGGUGUAUCAAUUAAGCAUGUUAAUUAGAGUAAUACAACCUAAAUCUUGAAAAGCAGCUGAAUGAUUACCCAUUGUUAAGAUGGUGGCCAGACAAUUCUGCAGCUUUUGUGAGAGCCUCUCUCCACUGCUUUACACGGAUGUCAUUUUCGUGCUUCCGAAAUGCUUCGGCUAAAUCUCCGUCCUGCUUCCUGACAUGCGAAGGAUCAACGUGAUAGAAUAUUGGUAAAACAUGUCGCCCCAGUUUGUCUCUACACUCCAUGAUCUUCACCAGCUCGUCAAGACACCAACUCGAAUUCGCAUACAUCUUUGAGAAGUUAAUGACAGAGAUCCUCGACUCCUCGAUUGCACGAAACAAUUUAUCUUUUAUUUCUUCCCCUCUUUGUAGAUCGUCCUCAUCAAUAAAGACCUGGUACCCUCUGUCUUUUAAUGCCGCGUGAAGGUGGCUCGUGAAGCAAUUGCGCGUGUCUUCACCCCUGAAGCUCAAGAAUACGUCGUAGUUCCAGAGUUUGGACUUGGAGGAGGACGAAGAGGAGGCUUCGUGGGCUGUCAUGGCGGCAUCCACCGUUAUGGCUUUAGCAGUGGUUCAGAAUCAGAUCACAGACUGAAAAAUAUAGCAAUAGCUGUGUUUGUGUUGGCGUGUUGGCUUGAAAAGCGACAGACUAUUAAAAUGAUGCCACGACCCAGAAGAAUAUUAAAACGAUGCCGUCCGACACGCAAUAGAAUGGUGAAAGGCCGUCCGACACGUCACAGGAUGGUGGAAAACAAACAAUAUUAUGAGAGAGAAAGAGCUAGCAAAUUUAUGAGGAAGAAACAAAACUCAGCAACAACAACAACAACAACAACAACAAAGCCUUUUCCCACUAAGUGGGGUCGGCUAUAUGAAUCCUAGAACGCCAUUGCGCUCGGUUUUGUGUCAUGUCCUCCGUUAGAUCCAAGUACUCUAAGUCUUUUCUUAGAGUCUCUUCCAAAGUUUUCCUAGGUCUUCCUCUACCCCUUCGGCCCUGAACCUCUGUCCCGUAGUCACAUCUUCGAACCGGAGCGUCAUUCGGCCUUCUUUGCACAUGUCCAAAUCACCGGAGCCGAUUUUCUCUCAUCUUUCCUACAAUUUCGGCUACUCCUACUUUACCUCGGAUAUCCUCAUUCCCAAUCUUAUCCUUUCUCGUGUGCCCACACAUCCCACGAAGCAUCCUCAUCUCUCCGCUACACCCAUUUUGUGUACGUGUUGAUGCUUCACCGCCCAACAUUCUGUGCCAUACAACAUCGCUGGCCUUAUUGCCGUCCUAUAAAAUUUUCCCUUGAGCUUCAGUGGCCUACGACGGUCACACACAACACGCCGGAUGCACUCUAACACUUCAUCCAUCCAGCUCGUAUUCUAUGGUUGAGAUCUCCAUCUAAUUCUCCGUUCUCUUGCAAGAUAGAUCCUAGGUAGCGAAAACGGUCGCUUUUUGUGAUCUUCGCUAGAUUGCUCCGGUCAUUAGUGUGGAUAAGUAUAUAAAUGGAUAGAGAUAGGAAAGCAAACACAAGAUGUACGUGGUUCACCCAGAUUUGGCUACGUCCACGGAAUAGAAGAGUUCUCAUUAAUUGUGAAGGGUUUACACAAGUACAUAGGUUCAAGCUCUCCUUUAGUGAGUACAAGUGAAUGAUUUAGUACAAAUGACAUUAGGAAAUAUUGUGGGAGAAUGAUCUCGUAAUCACGAAACUUCUAAGUAUCGGAGUGUGGUGUCGUCUUGACUUGCCUUAUCUGUCUCAUAGGUAGAUGUGGCAUCUUCUCUGGAAGUACUCUUCCUCCAUCCAGGGGUGGUAUCUUUAACUGGUGGAGAUGCACAAGGUAAUGUAUCAAUUUCACUUGAAGCUUACUUGUAGUUUCAGGCUUGGUCAAGCGCGAUACAAACCAUGUAGUAGGAGUCCCCCAAGUCGCCGAGCUAGGGGGUCUGCUGAAAGAGGUGACAGACAAGGUAAGCAAUCAGAGCUCCGACUGAUUGUUCACCUUCUCCCCAUCUUGCAGCAGCAUGAAGGAUAAAGAGAAGAAAAAUGAGAAGAGAUGAUAUGAGAUACUUUUGCUUUUGAAGAAGUAACUUUCCACAGGCUUAUUCUUGAACUGAGCUGGAGGGUUUUCUGGUUUCCUCCAGAGUAUAAGGCCGACUGAAGAAUUUGAGGGUCAAAACAAGUCCAUCAAAUCUAGAGUACGUUCCACCCUGCUGAUAUGGGAUACUUUUGCUUUUGACAGAGUAAUGGAUGUAUCGGCACGUGUGCUGUUACGCUUGUCUCCACAUGCUUCCUUGUAUCCUUCGCACUUGCCCUAUCUGUUCCUCAAGCAGAUGCGGAAUCUUCCCUGGAAACAUAAGAUGUUGAAGAUGAGUACUCGAGAGCAAUGCCAGGUAAGUAAUCAGGUAAGGGGUUCCAGGCAGUCAGUUCCUGGCUGGAAGCUUGAUUCCAAGUGCUGACUGAUUGCUCUCUUUCUCCUUGUCUUGCAGGUAAAAACAAGGCCAAAGGAAAAGACAGGGAAAAAGCAUGAUAUGGGAUACUCUUGCUUUUAACCCUGAUGAUAUGAGAUAUUCUUGCUCUAGUAUAGCUUGUUUGCAGAGGUAUUAUCGGGGGGAAAGAAAGCUGAAUAUUUCGAAAGGCUUCGUUGGGAGUGCCCUCUCAGAUAUGAUGAAGGGUUGAGCAUUUUUGCAGGUCUGCCUGUCCGUUGGGGAUGGAGGUCGACAUAUAUAGGAGUCUCCCUAACAACAAGUAGUAAUGCUAUUCCUUUACCCUGCUUGGUCAUAGCACGGUAGUGGGAGCUGCCAGUUUCACAUGUUUUAACUCUGUCAGAGCACUUUGAAAAAGUGGUCUGUGGUAUCUGGCUCUCGAGAUUCGGAGAACGAUGCCUCUUCGAUUUUUGAGAAAGCAAUCAUGCUGGGGGUCUGGCUCUCGAGAUUCGGAGAGCAGUGUCUCUUCGAUUUUUGAGGAAGUAAUCAUGUUGGGAGUCUGGCUCUCGAGAUUCGGAGGGCGGUGCCUCUUCGAUUUUGGAGCAAGCAAUCUUGUUGGGAGUGUUGUCUCGAAUGUGAGUAAAGGUUGGGCAUGUUUGCUAGUCUACCUUGCCACGAAGCACAAAGGUUGACACACAGGGACUUUCCAAUUAUCCAGCAAUGGUACUGUUCCUUUACCCUCUCUUCGAUUUUGAGAAAGUAGUCAUGUUGGGAGUCUGGCUCUCGAGAUUCGGAGGACGGUGCCUCUUCGAUUUUGGAGCAAGCAAUCUUGUUGGGAGUGUUUUCUCGAAUGUGAGUAAAGGUUGGGCAUGUUUGCUAGUCUACCUUGCCACGAAGCACAGAGGUUGACACACAGGGACUUUCCAAUUAUCCAGCAGUGGUACUGUUCCUUUACCCUUGUGGGUAAUAAUAUGGUAGCUAGACCUUCAAAAUUUAUGUGUCUAAACUUUGUUAGUGUUUGUUUCUUUGCUAUUCUUUUACCUUUCUUGGUCAGAGCGAUGUAGUGGGAGCUGCAAGCUUCACGUGCUCAACUUUGGCAGAGAACUUUGGCAAAGUUAUCUGUGGUACCCAUGAGCUAUUGUUGCGUGUGGGAAGUGGGUGAUUGAACAGUAAGAUUCAUGUGCUUUCUACUUCACCAGAAGUCUUCGACAGAAUGCCCAUAAUUUCUGCAAAGCUGAGUGUGCGUGUGACAGGUGCUGACAAGGCUAGAAAAGUAGGUGCCUCUUCGAUUUCUGAGAUCGGCCCUCGUGGUCUCUGAGCAGCCCAGCUUUUGAGAAAGCGAGCGCCUCUUCGAUUGAUUCGAAGAACGAUGCCUCAUCGAUUUUUGAGAAAGCAAUCAUGCUGGGGGUCUGGCUCUCGAAGAUUCGGGGAGCAGUGUCUCUUCGAUUUUUGAGAAAGUAAUCAUGUUGGGAGUCUGGCUCUCGAGAUUCGGAGGGCGGUGCCUCUUCGAUUUUGGAGCAAGCAAUCUUGUUGGGAGUGUUUUCUCGAAUGUGAGUAAAGGUUGGGCAUGUUUGCUAGUCUACCUUGCCACGAAGCACAGAGGUUGACACACAGGGACUUUCCAAUUAUCCAGCAAUGGUACUGUUCCUUUACCCUCUCUUCGAUUUUUAAGAAAGUAGUCAUGUUGGGAGUCUGGCUCUCGAGAUUCGGAGGACGGUGCCUCUUCGAUUUUGGAGCAAGCAAUCUUAUUGGGAGUGUUUUCUCGAAUGUGAGUAAAGGUUGGGCAUGUUUGCUAGUCUACCUUGCCACGAAGCACAGAGGUUGACACACAGGGACUGUCCAAUUAUCCAGCAGUGGUACUGUUCCUUUACCCUUGUGGGUAAUAAUAUGGUAGCUAGACCUUCAAAAUUUAUGGGUCUAAACUUUGUUAGUGCUGUUUCUUUGCUAUUCUUUUACCCUUCUUGGUCAGAGCGAUGUAGUGGGAGCUGCAAGCUUCACGUGCUCAACUUUGGCAAAGUUUUCUGUGGUACCCAUGAGCUAUUGUUGCGUGUGGGAAGUGGGUGAUUGAACAGUAAGAUUCAUGUGUUUUCUACUUCCCCAGAAGUCUUCGACAGAAUGCCCAUAAUUUCCGCAAAGCUGAGUGUGCGUGUGACAGGUGCUGACAAGGCUGGAAAAGUAGGUGCCUCUUCGAUUUCUGAGAUCGGCCCUCGUGGUCUCUGGGGAGCCCAGCUUUUGAGAAAGCGAGCGCCUCUUCGAUUUCUGAGAUCGGCCUUCGUGGUCUUUGAGCAGCCCAACUUUUGAGAAAGCAAACGCCUCUUCGAUUUCUGAGAUCAACCCUCGUGAUCUCUAAGCAGCCCAGCUUUUGAGAAAGCAAACGCCUCUUCGAUUUCUGAGCAGGCGCCUCUUCGAUUUCUGAAGCUCCGUCGAGUGCAGAUUUUUAUAGAGGGCUGGCAUUAAGUUCCAAAGCACACUUGAAUCUCCACCAGUAGAAGCUUCAUUCUUGCACUUCUAAGAUCUUGAUUUGUCCGACCUCUUCUCUCUUCAACACCUUUGAAAAUGUCUGGCCCCUCCGACCGUCGUUUUGACUUGAACCUUGUUGAAGAGGCAGCCCCGCCUUCUCCAGACAACACAUAUGGCGCCCAUCCUUCGUCUCCCCUACUGGUCCUCUUACCGUUGGGGAUUCCGUGAUGAAGAAUGAUAUGACCGCUGCGGUGGUGGCCAGGAACCUUCUCACUCCCAAAGAUAACAGACUACUUUCCAAACGGUCUGAUGAGUUAGCUGUUAAGGAUUCGCUGGCUCUCAGUGUUCAGUGUGCAGGUUCUGUGUCUAAUAUGGCCCAACGCCUAUUUGCUCGAACCCGCCAAGUUGAAUCAUUGGCGGCUGAAGUGAUGAGUCUCAAACAGGAGAUUAGAGGGCUCAAGCAUGAGAAUAAACAGUUGCACCGGCUCGCACAUGACUAUGCUACAAACAUGAAGAGGAAGCUUGACCAGAUGAAGGAAACUGAUGGUCAGGUUUUACUUGAUCAUCAGAGAUUUGUGGGUUUGUUCCAAAGGCAUUUAUUGCCUUCGUCUUCUGGGGCUGUACCGCGUAAUGAAGCUCCAAAUGAUCAACCUCUGAUGCCUCCUCCUUCUAGGGUUCUGUCCAGUACUGAGGCUCCAAAUGAUCCCCCUCCGGUGCCUUCUCUUUCUGGGGCUCUACCGACUGCUGAGACUUCUCCUAAGCAACCUUUGUGAAGGCUCCCUCUUGUGUGUUUAUUUUGACUCAUGUAUAUGUACAUAUUUGUAGCUUAUCGGGGAUAUCAAUAAAUAAGCUUUCCUUCAUUUCAACGUAUUGUGUUAAAUACACCAAAGCCUUUCUUCGCUAAGUUCUUUGAAUUUUCUUUUGUUGAAGCUUGUAUGUUGAAGCUUUCUGAGUGGAGCAUGUAGGUUGGGGUAGUGUUCCCUUAAUUUUCCCGAGUGAGGAAAACUUCUCGGUUGGAGACUUGGAAAAUCCAAGUCACUGAGUGGGAUCGGCUAUAUGAAUCUUAGAACGCCAUUGUGCUCGAUCCUGUGUCAUGUCCUUCGUUAGAUCCAAGUACUCUAAGUCUUUUCUUAGAGUCUCUUCCAAAGUUUUCCUAGGUCUUCCUCUACCCCUUCGGCCCUGAACCUCUGUCCCAUAGUCGCAUCUUCUAAUCGGAGCGUCAGUAGGCCUUCUUUGCACAUGUCCAAACCACCGUAACCGAUUUUCUCUCAUCUUUCCUUCAAUUUCGGCUACUCCUACUUUACCCCGGAUAUCCUCAUUCCUAAUCUUAUCCUUUCUCGUGUGCCCACACAUCCAACGAAGCAUCCUCAUCUCCGCUACACCCAUUUUGUGUACGUGUUGAUGUUUCACCGCCCAACAUUCUGUGCCAUACAGCAUCGCCGGCCUUAUUGCCGUCCUAUAAAAUUUUCCCUUGAGCUUCAGUGGCAUACGGCGGUCACACAACACGCCGGAUGCACUCUUCCACUUCAUCCAUCCAGCUUGUAUUCUAUGGUUGAGAUCUCCAUCUAAUUCUCCGUUCUUUUGCAAGAUAGAUCCUAGGUAACGAAAACGGUCGCUCUUUGGUAUUUCUUGAUCUCCGAUCCUCACCCCUAACUCGUUUUGGCCUCCAUUUGCACUGAACUUGCACUCCAUAUAUUCUGUCUUUGAUCGGCUUAGGCGAAGACCUUUAGAUUCCAACACUUCUCUCCAAAGGUUAAGCUUUGCAUUUACCCCUUCCUGAGUUUCAUCUAUCAACACUAUAUCGUCUGCGAAAAGCAUACACCAAGGAAUAUCAUCUUGAAUAUGUCCUGUUAACUCAUCCAUUACCAACGCAAAAAGGUAAGGACUUAAGGAUGAGCCUUGAUGUAAUCCUACAGUUAUGGGAAAGCUUUCGGUUUGUCCUUCAUGAGUUCUUACGGCAGUCUUUGCUCCUUCAUACAUAUCCUUUAUAGCUUGGAUAUAUGCUACUCGUACUCCUUUCUUCUCUAAAAUCCUCCAAAGAAUGUCUCUUGGGACCCUAUCAUACGCUUUUUCCAAAUCUAUAAAGACCAUGUGUAAAUCCUUUUUCCCAUCUCUAUAUCUUUCCAUCAAUCUUCGUAAGAGAUAGAUUGCCUCCAUGGUUGAGCGCCCUGGCAUGAACCCGAAUUGGUUGUCCGAAACCCGUGUCUCUUGCCUCAAUCUAUGCUCAAUGACUCUCUCCCAGAGCUUCAUUGUAUGACUCAUUAGCUUAAUACCCCUAUAGUUCAUGCAAUUUUGUACGUCGCCCUUAUUCUUGUAGAUAGGCACCAAAGUGCUCGUUCGCCACUCAUUUGGCAUCUUCUUCGUUUUCAAAAUCCUAUUGAAAAGGUCAGUGAGCCAUGUUAUACCUGUCUCUCCCAAAAGUUUCCACACUUCGAUUGGUAUAUCGUCUGGGCCUAUUGCUUUUUUAUGCUUCAUCUUCUUCAAAGCUACAACCACUUCUUCCUUCCGGAUUCGACGAUAAAAAGAGUAGUUUCUACACUCUUCUGAGUUACUCAACUCCCCUAAAGAAGCACUCAUUUCAUGUCCUUCAUUGAAAAGAUUAUGAAAAUAAACCUCUCCAUCUGUCUUUAACCGCGUUCUCUCUGUAGCAAGAACCUUUCCAUCCUCAUCCUUGAUGCACCUCACUUGGUUUAGGUCCCUUGUCUUCUUUUCCCUUGCUCUAGAUAGUUUAUAGAUAUCCAACUCUCCUUCUUUGGUAUCUAGUCGUUUAUACAUAUCGUCGUAAGCCGCUAACUUAGCUUCUCUGACAGCUUUCUUCGCCUCUUGCUUCGCUUUUCUAUACCUUUCACCAUUUUCAUCGGUCCUCUCCUUGUAUAAGGCUUUACAACAUUCCUUCUUAGCCUUCACCUUUGUUUGUACCUCCUCAUUCCACCACCAAGAUUCCUUUUGGUGUGGGGCAAAGCCCUUGGACUCUCCUAAUACCUCUUUUGCUACUUUUCGGAUACAACUAGCCAUGGAAUCCCACAUUUGGCUAGCUUCCCCCUCUCUAUCCCACACACAUUGGGUGAUUACCUUCUCUUUGAAAAUGACUUGUUUUUCUUCUUUUAGAUUCCACCAUCUAGUCCUUGGGCACUUCCAAGUCUUGUUCUUUUGUCUUACUCUUUUGAUAUGUACAUCCAUCACCAACAAGCGAUGUUGAUUAGCCACGCUCUCUCCUGGUAUAACUUUGCAAUCCUUACAAGUUAUACGAUCCCCUUUCCUCAUUAGAAGAAAAUCUAUUUGUGUUUUUGACGACCCACUCUUGUAGGUGAUCACAUGUUCUUCUCUCUUCUUAAAGAAGGUGUUGGCUAAGAAGAGAUCAUAUGCCAUUGCAAAAUCCAAGAUAGCUUCCCCAUCCUCGUUUCUCUCCCCAAAACCAUGGCCACCAUGAAAACCUCCAUAGUUGCCUGUCUCCCUGCCCACGUGUCCAUUUAAAUCUCCUCCUAUAAAUAACUUCUCCGUCUGAGCAAUUCCUUGCACCAAGUCUCCAAGAUCUUCCCAAAAAUUUCUCCUUCGAACUCGUAUCCAACCCUACUUGAGGUGCGUACGCACUAAUCACAUUGAUAAGUUCUUGUCCUAUUACAAUCUUGAUUGCCAUGAUUCUAUCUCCUACCCUCUUGACAUCUACAACAUCUUGUGUACCAAGGUCUUGUCCACGAUGAUGCCAACACCGUUUUCUCGUUCUAUUUGUGCCCGAAUACCAAAGUUUAAACCCUGAGUUUUCUAGAUCCUUUGUCCUUACUACCAACCCACUUAGUUUCUUGUAGGCACAUAAUAUUUAUCCUUCUCCUCACCAUAACUUCCACUACUUCCAUAGAUUUUCCCGUUAAGGUUCCUAUAUUCCACGUUCCUAAACGCAUUUUGCUCUCUUGAACUCUACCCUUCUGUCCUAGCUUCUUCACCCUCCCCCGUCUAAUAGGAUCAAAGUACUUCUUUUGUGUGUCCCGGGUAAAGUUGAUAGGAGCAUAUGCUCCCAAACAACUUUGAGUGGAGUCGUUCGAAAAGAAGUUUCUAUGGCCCCCUUGCUCAUUUAACACUGCAUCCGGGUGCCGAUGGAGAUACAGCGACCCUUGCUCACUUAUCACUGUGCUCGGGCCACACAGCGCGCCACUUACGGGUGACGCCCUAGCUUUAGCGUGAUUUUGUUCUGGAUUCAUUUUCAUAAGGAUUCGACGUGAUCAUGGAGUGCCGGCUGUCGACUACCUGACGCCCUCCCCCUCCUCCUUUAUCCGGGCUUGGGACCGGCCAUGUAAGACAUAGGCGGAGUUAAACAAAACUCAGCAAUUGAAAAAAAAUAAUAUCUCCUUCUUCAACUUGCAACAAACAAACAAAAAAAUCAAUUUAAUGGUAUUUUGGUGUUCUUGGAUUUGUCGAGAUGAAGGAAGAGGAAGGGGAAGGGUGAGAGAGAGAGAGAGAGAGAAUAAAAUUACUUUCAAUGGUAUUUUUUUAUUAAAUUAACAAUGAGGUUCAGACUCCAGACUCACCAUUAAUUAUGGAGGCUCGGUUACACGUGGAGUUGAAUGGGGGAGUUUAGCGGAACUGAGUCCUGCUAGCAUUUCUUUUUCUAACAUGGAUUCCAUUCGGAUCUAUUAUUUUAAAUUAAACAUAAAUAGUAUCUGAUAAAAAUUAAUCGUACGAUAUACAAUAAACGGUUGAGAUAUGAGAUUUCUUAUGACCCCCACAUAAUGGAUCCAAAGGGCAUCCGUGUUCUUUUUUUUCAAGAAUACGAGGGUAGAAACAAUUAAGAUCUACCUCCCCCUAUUUCAUCUAUAAUGUCAACCGGCUAAAUUGAUUAGCUAAUCGUAUAUAAAAAUAAUAAUAGCAUGAAAUCCUAAUUAUCGAACUAAGAAGGCACAUAGCACACCACUCCAUUACGAAAAUGGAAAAAAAAAUGUGAGCAAUAUAGAGUGUGCAUGCAUGCCAAGUAAUAUCCACAUGAACUAAAAUAUGAUAAACUCUUAAUAAGAGGACUGCUGAAAACGAAAAUUGGUUGUCUUUUGAUUAUUCAUCUCUAAAUAUUGAUGGUAUGUGGGUAGUUAUAUUGGUUCGAAUUCAAAUGAUAUAAAAAUAAUAAUAUAAAUUCAUUACUUUAUACAAAUUCAACUUUAUAUUUGAAGCUUCACCAUAUUGACAUAUCUAAGAAGGCACACAGCACACCACUCCAUUAGGAAAUUGGAAAAAAAAAUGUGAGAAAUAUAGAGUGUGCAUGCAUGCCAAGUAAUAUCCACAUGAACAAAAAAUGAGAAAAGCUUAAUAAGAGGACGGUUGAAAACGAAAAUUGGUUGCCUUCCGAUAAUUCAUCUCUAAACAUUGAUGGUACGUGGGUAGUUACUAUUGGAUCUCACAUUAAACUAAGAUUAGAUUGUGGGAAUCCUUGGGAGAAAACUGUUAACUCGUUUGUGUUUUUUCUCCGUCGUCUUUGAGGUUGAACACGUAAACUUUUUCUUUCUUUUUUUCUUUUUCACUUUUUCAUUUUCUUUUCUACUUUUAUUAUUUAUUUAUUUCUAAUUGAUUUUUCACUACAGAACCAGCACGUUUCUAGUUCUUAUUUACAUAUUUUUGUUUUUUUAUUUUUUAUUUUUUUUAAAUACAGUUUUAUGUUUAGUUAUGUUUUUUUUUUUUACCAAUUUGUCCUAUUUUUUUAUUUUUUUGAAUUUAGAUUGUGAAGGAAAUUAAGGAUCAUUUUUGGUAUUUUCGAAUGCUUCAUCCACUCAACAUAAAAAAAAAGGAUACUUUAACGAAAAGCAUCCGGUACUGUUCACUUUAACGAAAAACCACAUUUUUACACUAAAAAGUCAAUCAUGGUACUAUUCACUUUACCCUUUAUUUUGUCCUUAUCAUUAAAACUCAAAGUUUUCAAGCCCUUUUCAUUAGUUUUCCUAAAAAAAUAAUGUGCUAGAAAGAACGAAUCAUGCUGUACAAGCAACAGCAUCGGGAGACCAAAUACUUGCAUUUAAGGGCCGAAUUAAUGUUGGCUGGGAUAAGUGGUCCAUUGGGCUUUCGGGGGAAAGUAAAAUACAAGUCGGAAAGAAUAUAGAGAGGAGUACCGCCUCGCCUUACGCCUUACGCCUUUCUUCCGUCGGCGUCGUCUAGGGUUUUAGUUGUAAGUUGUAACAGAGCCUAUAAGGGGCACGAUAGCCCCAGUAAUUCAUCAACCUUCAAUUCCCAGACCUGACCGGAGCCGCCGUAGAAAUAUUACUAUUACCAUCCUCCUCUUGGUGAUCGCCCUGUCGCAUAUGGCUUCUGGAUUCAGGGCCUGUACAGGGUGAUUACCAAAGGGAUGACGGUAAUAUUUAAUUCAUGAUGUUGGCAAACUCGUCGGAGGGAAAUGUACUUUGGUUUUCUUGGAUUUAUCGAGAUGGAGGAAGAGGAAGGGGAAGGGUGAGAGAGAGAGAGAAUAAUUAUUUUUAAUGGUAUUUUUUUAUUAAAUUAACAAUGAGGUCCAGACUCACCAUCAAUUAUGGAGGCUCAGUUACACGUGGAGUUGAAUGGGGGAGUUUGGCGGGAGAAAUUUUUAGUUGUAAUAGAAACACGUAUGCUAUAUCAUAUGUUUUUACAUAAGUAUUGAAAAAUUUUAAUUUUUAAGUUAUUAACUUUUUAACACAUAUAUCUGACCAUUUAUUUAGGAACACAUAGUGUACUGUCUCAUGUGACGAUCACAUUGAAAAAUCUUUAGUUUGGCAGAAGCAAGUACUCCUAACAUUUCUUUUCAAGAAUACAAGGGUAGAAACAAUUAAGAUCUACCUCCUCCUAUUUCAUCUGCAGGAAAGUGAUUCUCUUUGGAUCAUUUCUCCUAAUUCAUCAAAUCUGAAGAUCUGUGUCAUUGAAAUUUAAUCCAACGGCUACAAACAGGGGUCUAGUUUAAAAGUUAUAAUAAUUUCAACUGUUUAACCAAAUUUUAAUGACACGAAUCUCCUAAUUUAGUGAAUUAGGAAGAAGGGAUUCAGACAUAAUCCCUUUCCUCAUCUGCAAUGUCAACCGGCUAAAUUGAUCAGCUAAUCGUUCGAUAUCUCUCUUGCUAACGAUAAUCCCUUACGCAUCUACAAGAUUUUGGUACUACUUAGGUAAAUGUUAUCAAGGCAUGCAAAGCAGUACGCCUGGUAUAAUUAAUAACAAUAUUUUCAAGAUGACAUUUAUGUUGUUCACUUAACGAGUAAAUACAUCAAACAAUCAACUCUUUAAAAUGACAAUCAUCACUUUUAAGCAUAACAAAGUCAGCUACAUUCUCCUCAUAAGCAAACUCAAACAACUCAAGAAUGCCAUAAAUCCAAUUGAGAUAAAUGUCACCGUAUCCACAAGAAAUCCAUCCCUAUACAUGUUGAAGAGUACAAGGAUCUCAUAUCAAAUUUGUCAAAAUUAAAGAUGACUUAUAUUGUGCAAUUUUCACUCCUAAUUAUAUCAAAGUUUUUUGUGAUAAGAUAUUCACAUAUGAAGUGUUGUGCAUGUUGGAAAAUUCAAGUCGAUAGAAAGUAUUGAUGUUGUUAAUGAUGGGUCCUUGUAAAGCAUGUGAUAAAAUUUUCAUGUUUCAAAGCUGUUUGUAAAACGUUAAUAGAUGAGCCCUUAACUUAUAUGUUAGCCACCAUUAGCUAGUAAACAUUACCAUACCAACAAACCCCCAAACUCUAUGUGCUGUAUUAUAAAUAAAAUUGGUCUCUACGAAAAAACACUUUGUAAAACGGAUAAGCACUUUACAAACCACUUCUGUUUGUCACUUUUCUUUUCUAAAAGCCAUUUUUGUUUAUAAGCACUAUACUAGAAGCAACGUAAAAAAUUUUAGUAAAAUUCUAUCCUUUAAAAGCACUUACAUUUUUUUCUACUAACAUCAUCAUAAUACUUUGAGAAUAUUGUUUGAAAGCACUUUUAAUAACUCUAAAAACUAGGAAAAGUUGACAAUAUAAAAAUUUUAGUUCCUUUUAUUUUUUAUUUUUUAUUCUGCAAUGUCAUAAUUUAAAUCUUCUAUUUAAUUAGAUGUCAUUUAUAUGUAUCACUUGUCAUGUCAAAUAGUACAUUAAUGUGGUACAAAAAUAAAAAAGCUAAGUUGAAGGGAGCUUUCUUCAUUGACCCCGGCCACGACCAUCAUUAAAUUGACUGAAAUACAUUCUUUCUUGAGGGAUCAUGCCUUCGGGAGAAACUAGUGAUGAUUGCCUCUCAAUGGCAUUCGUCUUCGAGAGAUAUUUCUUUGAGAAGAAUGCAAUUUCAAUAUAAGAAUUUCCGUGGGGAGGAUUUUACGAGGAAUUCGAGUAGUCGGCGGCUUUGGAAAUUCUGGCUCACAUACGGCCACAGUGAGGUAGCAGUUGUGGAGUACUUUCAUAUCCCGGCAAUCUGUGACGAUGUCGUUCCUGGAACUAAAGCAUUCUCUGGUAUAGAUUAAGCUCGGCCACUACAAAUACAAUGAAUUUGGAAGUUUUAGGUCACGACUUUCAGUUUAUGGCUCCAAACUUUUUGUCACAAAAUUGAUUAUUUGAUUGGUGGUGUUUUGGUAUUAAGAGGACGGACAUAUUUAAUGACAGGUAUGUAUCCAAUCUCAAUUUAUUUUGGAAUGAUGAAAUGAAAGGUGGUGUCUGUUGAAUUUUACUGUUUUGCAAUUUGGGAUUUCUGUGUGGAUUGUAAACUUUGAUUUUUUUUUUUUUGGUCAGUGAUUGAAUUUUUCUUGCAUUUGAUACAAAAUUAAUGAAAUGAGAUUGAAAAAUGAGGAGUUGCUAUCAGACGUUUAUGUUUUAGUAUAAUUUCACACGUAUGAUAAGAAAGCAUUCCCACCCCCCCCCCACCCCAACCCCCCAACCCGGUGUUUUUUUCUUCAGAUGAAUAUGAUUUUUUUGAAUUUAGAUUGUGAAGGAAAUUAAGGAUCAUUUUUCGUAUUUUCGAAAAUCCAAAAAAACAUUAGUUUUAAUGAAAAAUGAUAAAUACAUGUGUAGUGAAUAGUACCAGAGAAAUGUAAAAAUGUGAUUUUUCAUUAAAAGUAAACAAUACCGGGAAUGUAUCGUUAAAACUCCCUAAACAAAUGAUGUGGUAGAAAGAAAGAAUGAUGUACAAGCAACAGCAACGGGAGACCCAAGUACUUGCAUUUAAGGGCCGAAUUAAUGUGGGCUGGGAUAAGUUGUCCAUUGGGCUUUCGGGUGAAAGUAAAUAGAAGGCCUUUCUUCUGUCGGCGUCGUGUAGAGUUUUAGUUGUUACAGAACCUAUGAAAUGAGCACGAUGGCUGCCUACAAUUCGUUAACCUUCAAUUUCGCACACCUGAGUCUGGGGGCCGGAGCCGCUGUUGCAGAAUAUUACUAUUACCCUCCUCCUCUUGGUGAUCGCCCUGCCCCAUAUGGUCUUCUGAAUUCAGGGCCUGCAUAUCGACAGGGUGGUUACCAAUGGGAUGACGGUAAUAUUUAAUUGAUGAUGUUGGCAAACUCAUCGGAAAAUCGACCCGGCGCUGGCAAACUCACCGGGGGCAGAGCUCUGAAGUGGCCGCCAUACCACUCCCCUCGCUGACAUUUCACGAAGAAGAUAACGAACGCGAAAAUUAUGCUAAAUUUUAGUGCUUUUGUUGUUUUACUUUGUUUUUGUGUUCUAGGGUUUCAGGGUUUGGUUGCUGGUGACAGGGUUCGAAAGCUCGAGGAUUUUGACCUUUAGCAAGGACUUGUUCUUUCUGUAUGAAUUAACUCUC
rnacentral:lncRNA from 1 species